AAACUUCUCGCCCUCGUGUGUCCAUUUGUUCCGCGAAGUCCAAAUGGCCCACAUGAUAGUGAUGAUCGUGGCUCGAUCCUUGGGGGAGAGACAAGGAUCAGAGAGAAUGUCCUUCUGCCAAGAACCAGACUGGAGCGUUGGGAGUUGUACGUCCAACAGCGCUUGCGCCUCGGCCCAAUACCGACGGGCAUUAGAGCAGUGCAAUAGCGCAUGCUCUAAAUCUUCCUCAGCAAGGUGACAUAGCUUGCAUAGACUUGUUUCUCUGAUAUGGCGAUAUUUUAACGUAGCUUCGUCAGGUAGAAUCCCACGCAUGACUCUCCACCAGAAAACGCGUACCUUAGGGACGACCUUGAGAGACCAUAACAUCUUCCACAAGCGUUGAUGAUCCACUGAAUUACCAAUAGCCUGCCCUUCCACUUGAGCAGAAUGCUCGUUAUGUGUCAUUAGAGGUCGGUAUGCUGAUUUGACUGUGUAGUUGCCAGAUUUCUCAUGUGCCCAGGCCAUAAAAUCAGCCCCCCUCCACGCCGAAGUGGGAUAUUCAGAAUCGCCUCGGCGUCCGGCGCAGCAAAACUUUCCCUCACCUGAUCCACCCUCCAAGUUCCCGUUUCAAUGUCGAUGAGCUCGCUAACAAAGGCAACGGUCGCCCCAGGGGUCUAGUAGUGGGAAUCAUUGUUGCAGUAGUCGGGAUCCACUUAUCCGUCCAAACAUUGAUAGAAGUGCCAUCCCUAAUACGAUGGAUAAGGCCCAGUUUCAACACCUCUCUUCCCGCCACAAUAGCACGCCAAGUAGCAGAUGCCGAGUGUGGCACCGAAGCCUGGAUGAACUCGGUGUCUGGAUAGUAUCUUCCCUUCAACACUCUUGCGCACAAGGAGUUAGGGUUGGUAAUCAGGCACCAACCAUGCUUACCCAGCAGGGCCAGAUUGAACCCAUGGAAGUCUCGAAAACCCAUCCCUCCUUUGCAUUUUGGCGUUGCUAGUUCUUUCCACGAAAUCCAGUGGAGAGACCGUCUGUCAAUGGAACUACUCCACCAAUACUUAGCCAUGCUGGAAGUUAGACUUUUGUAGACUUUCUUGGUGAGCAAGAAACAACUCAUACUGAAUGUGGGAAUAGCCUGAAUCACUAAUUUCAGAAGUGUUUCCCUUCCUGCAUAAGCAAACAACCUCUCAGACCAUCCCCUCAUCUUGCUCCUCGAGCGCUCCCCAAUGUGAUCAAAGGAUCCACUAGUGAUACGACCCACCGCAGUUGGGAGGCCGAGAUAGCGAUCGCUAAAGGCUUUCACCGAAACCCCGAGAACUCCUUUUAUGCACUGGCGCAAUUCAGAGGGUGUAUUAGGGCUGAAGUAUACUGCACUUUUCUCACGAUUUACACACUGGCCCGAAGCUUCACCAUAUAUCCGUAGUAUUGCAGUGAGCCUCUCUGCACUCGGGGAGUGAGCAUUAAUAAAGAUCAAACUAUCAUCUGCAAAUAGUAGAUGACUUACCCAGGGAGCACGAAAACUUGCCGUGACUCCUCUGUCAAUGUAGCUGUAGUUCUUGAGCAGCGAGGAGAAUCCUUCAACACAUAAGAGGAACAGAAAAGGCGACAGAGGAUCCCCCUGCCGCAAGCCCCGAGUUGGGGUGAAGAAAGGUUGUAACUCCCCAUUAAUCCUCAUAGUAAACCGGACUGAAGUAACACACUUCAUUAUCAGUCGAACAAAAGAAGAGCUGAAUCCCAGUCGAAGAAGAAUUGCCUCCAAAUAAUGCCAUUCUACCCGAUCGUACGCUUUCAUCAUAUCCAGCUUAAGAGCACAGGAGUGAUUAUUUCCCUUUUUCCUUCUGCGAAUCGCGUGGACACACUCGAAGGCCACAAGUACGUUAUCAGUCAACAAACGACCAGGGACAAAAGCACUCUGUUCCUCACUAACAAUCUCAUCCAUGCAAGUCCUAAGCCGGUUAGUGAUCGCCUUGGAGGCCACCUUAUAUAGAACCGAGCACAGGGAAAUAGGACGGAACUGGGAGAUCUUUUGGGGAUGUCGUACCUUGGGUAUAAGGGUGAUCGAUGUAUCGUUGAGGCCCAAAGGUAGAUCACCUCCAUUCAAGAAGCCAAGCACCGCCGUUGUAACCGACCCAUUCAGCAGAUUCCAAUGUUUUGGAAGAAACCCGCGGUGAAACCAUCUACACCCGGGGCUUUCGAUGGCGUCAUCUGGAACAACGCAUCCCUAAUCUCCUGUGCUUAGAAGGGUUUAUCAAGCAGUCCAUUCAUCUGAGGUGAAACCUUUACAGGAACGUGUGUAAGGAUCUCCCUCAUGUCACUCCUACCUUGAGAGGAAUAUAGGUCUUGGUAGAAUGACAGUAUCUCAGUCUGGUCCUCCUCACUGGUCGCACAAACUGAGCCGUCUGCCCGCACCAGGCCACAGAUCUUAUUCAUACGUUGUCGUUGCUUUGCCUGGGCAUGGAAAUACUUUGUGUUGCGGUCACCCUCUUUCAACCAUCUUACUCUGGAUCGUUGCCGCAUCCAGAUUUCUUCCUGCUUCAGAGCCAACCGGAGUUUCGCUGCAGUUGCCUUUUCCUCAUCAGAUGGGCCACGCCCAACCGAAGACCGCCGCAGCUUAUCAAGCUUGCGCUGUAACUGACGGACAGACCGGGCCAAACAACCAAAUUCUUUCGCACCCCAUGGCUCGAGGGUUCUCUGUAAUGUUCCCACCGACUCCAUGAUCCUGUGACAACCCGAUGCCGACGUUCCAGAAGAUUCCCCUCUCUUUCUGUUUUCGUCGCGUGUCUAUUUUAUUUGUUGCAUCACCAUCGCAUCAUGCACAUCAUCUGCAUGCCAUCGGUGUCUCCGUUGCCGCCAGUUUUCAAACUUGCACCCGUUGUUAGUUGCCGGUUAACGUCGUUGUUCAUUCCGAGCCCGACCGCACUCGCACGCGCCCGCGGCACCGUCGAAACCCUGUUUUUAAAGUGCAUUUAAAACUUUCUCUGAUCGAGGUGAAACUUGGCACGCGGUCGCGAAUAGAUAUAGCUAGGCCGCCUGUCGAAUUUCGUCGCGAUCGGAGACCGUCUGGUACCCGAACGGUCGACCGUAGCGGCACCGUAUUCGGGCUACCGUCGGACGUCUGUCAGUGUUUUAAAAUUCGUGCCGCGCCGCCCGUUCUCCCUCUCAUCUCCGGUUAUCCCCUCUACACGGCCGCGUACCCAUACCCGUGUUCGAAAUUGUCCAAAUCCGACCCCGUGGUUGGAUCCGGAGCGCGAUUCCGGUUAACCGAGCCCCCCGUUUGUCUAUAUAUAGGCCCCUUCCUUAAUUUUAGGCAACCAACCCUAAUACCACCUUGGGAUCCGCGCCGCCCCACCUCUCCUCUCUCUCCCGCAGCCUCUCUCCCCACCAGCCUCGCGGCCCCGCCAGGCCCAGAUCAGGCCCGGCCGAGCCCAUCCGGCCGCCGCCGCCCGUGCCCGCAGCAGCAGCCCGAGCCGCCUCCAGCCGCCCGCCGCCGCCGGAGCCCUCUGCGCCUCGCCCACCGGAGUUCCUCGCCCCGCCACCGUCGGGAUCUCGCUGGAUCCGGCCGCCGCACCCUCGCCUGCGCCGUCCGCCGCCGUCAGCCCCUGGUCGCCGCCUUCCCUGCGGGCUUGCCGCGCCGUCCUCUGCUUCCCGUGCUGGCUACCUUCGUCCCUGCCUCGAGUUGCCUCGCCGCCGCCUCGGUCCUGCAGGUCCGGCCGGUCCCGCCGCCGCCAUGCGCCGCCACCCGAGCCCGGAUCCGGUCCCAGUGCUCGCCGUGGUUGCCCUCGGCCUCCCGUCGGCGACCUGCGCCGUUGCUGCUUCCGAGGGCACGGGAGGGCGCUCCUCGACCCCGCGUUGACCGCGAUCUGCCUCUGCUGGGCCCGAGCCGGCCCAGGACAGGGUGCUCCCGCAGUGGCCCAGCUCGCGCCUCGCCCUCGGCCCAACAGGAGCAGCAGCUCCAUCCUCCAGCGCCCGCCAGUGGGCCCCGCGGCCGGCCCAGCUCGCCAGUCCCGUCGGCCCAAGCGGCCACGCUGGUGAGCCCACUCCCUACCUCUAUCCUCCGCCAUGGCGUCAUAUAGCUAGUACGCGCAUGCCCCUCUGUUUAGGCUUGUUAACAGAGUCGGCCCAGUAGAUAUUUAGGAUUUAAUCCGAAUUUAAUCCGUUUUCAGAAAAAUAGACGUUUAAUAAAAACCCCGUAACUUUUUAUCCGUAAGUCGGAACGACGCGUAUUAUAUAUGGUUUUGUGGUAGUUUCGCGCGUAGAAUACGAAUUUGAAACUUGCAUAUUUAUUUGACGUCGUUUAGCGUGCUGGUUGCCUAGAUAAGCGUGCUGUCCUAAUAGGUUUCGACUCGUAUUUAUUUUUCGUGCAAGACCGGGUUCCUCGAGUGCCUUAGAUAAAAUGUAUAUGUUUUAGGGACUAUUUAUCCAUGUAUUUUAGACCAGUCAUUUGUAUUUUUGCGUGUACGGAUUUGCCGGUAGUUUAUUUUCCCGUAUAUAGGUGUUUAUUUCGCAUUAAUGUGUGGCUUUAUUAUGUGUUGCAAACCCCACAUAUUUUAUAUGUUUCCGGGGUAGAAAAAUCCAUGGGAUUUUUCUGUGCAGUUAGUUUUAGCUUUUGGAUAAGUUAGUUCGCGAGAUAUGUUACCGUGUUGGCCUUUUGAUUAAUUCGUAGGAUUUAUUCCGUGCCUCGUUUGAGUUAGUUGUCAACUAGGGAGUUGAUCUUGGAUGUUUUGUUUAGCCCCUGAUAUUUUUAGUUGCAAUAGAAAUGCAUGUUUAGGUGUGUUUCGAUAGCCCUCAAGUUGCUAGAAAUAGUGCUGUUUUAGACGUGCUGAAAUAUUUCUAAGUCUGGAAUCUGGUAUAUUUUGUUGCUGUCUUGUCUUGCUUCUAUCUUUNNNNNNNNNNNNNNNNNNNNNNNNNNNNNNNNNNNNNNNNNNNNNNNNNNNNNNNNNNNNNNNNNNNNNNNNNNNNNNNNNNNNNNNNNNNNNNNNNNNNAGUGUUCCGCGUGCGCAACUGUUUUGCACCCGUUGUAUGUGAACGUUGAGUCUAUCACACCCGAUCAUCACGUGGUGUCUCGAAACGACGAACUGUAGCAACGGUGCACAGUCGGGGAGAACACAAUUUCGUCUUGAAAUUUUAGUGAGAGAUCACCUCAUAAUGCUACCGUCGUUCUAAGCAAAAUAAGGUGCAUAAAAGGAUUAACAUCACAUGCAAUUCAUAAGUGACAUGAUAUGGCCAUCAUCUCGUGCUUCUUGAUCUCCAUCGCCAAAGCACCGGCACGAUCUUCUUGUCACCGGCGCCACACCAUGAUCAUCCAUCAACGUGCUGCCAUCGGGGUUGUCGUGCUACUUAUGCUAUCACUACUAAAGCUACAUCCUAGCAAAAUAGUAAACGCAUCUGCAAGCACAUAUGUUAGUAUAAAGACAACCCUAUGGCUCCUGCCGGUUGCCGUACCAUCGACGUGCAAGUCGAUAUUUCUAUUACAACAUGAUCAUCUCAUACAUCCAAUAUAUCACAUCACAUCAUUGGCCAUAUCACAUCACAAUCAUACCCUGCAAAAACAAGUUAGACGUCCUCUAAUUUUGUUGUUGCAUGUUUUACGUGGUGACCAAGGGUAUCUAGUAGGAUCGCAUCUUACUUACGCAAACACCACAACGGAGAUAUAUGAGUUGCUAUUUAACCUCAUCCAAGGACCUCCUCGGUCAAAUCCGAUUCAACUAAAGUUGGAGAAACCGUCACUUGCCAGUCAUCUUUGAGCAAAGGGGGUUACUCGUAACGAUGAAACCAGUCUCUCGUAAGCGUACGAGUAAUGUCGGUCCAAGCUGCUUCGAUCCAACAAUACCGCGGAAUCAAGAAAAGACUAAGGAGGGCAGCAAAACGCACAUCACCGCCCACAAAACCUUUUGUGUUCUACUCGAGAAGACAUCUACGCAUGAACCUAGCUCAUGAUGCCACUGUUGGGGAACGUCGCAAGGGAAACAAAAAUUUUCCUACGCGCACGAAGACCUAUCAUGGUGAUGUCCAUCUACGAGAGGGGAUGAGUGAUCUACGUACCCUUGUAGAUCGUACAGCAGAAGCGAUUAGAGAUCGCGGUUGAUGUAGUGGAACGUCCUCACGUCCCUCGAUCCGCCCCGCGAACAAUCCCGCGAUCAGUCCCACGAUCUAGUACCGAACGGACGGCACCUCCGCGUUCAGCACACGUACAGCUCGACGAUGAUCUCGGCCUUCUUGAUCCAGCAAGAGAGACGGAGAGGUAGAAGAGUUCUCCGGCAGCGUGACGGCGCUCCGGAGGUUGGUGAUGAUCUUGUCUCAGCAGGGCUCCGCCCGAGCUCCGCAGAAACACGAUCUAGAGGAAAAACUAUGGAGGUAUGUGGUCGGGCAGCCGUGAGAAAGUCGUCUCAAAUCAGCCCUAAAACCUCCGUAUAUAUAGGUGGGAGGGAGGGGAGGAGGCAGCCUCAAAACCUAAAGGUUUGGCCGAAAUUGGAGGUGGAGGAGUCCUACUCCAAUCCUACUUGGAGUAGGAUUCCACCUUCCCACUUGGAAACUCUUUCCACCUUGUGUUUUUUCCUUCUCAAACCUUAUGGGCCUUAGUGGGAACUUAUUCCAGCCCACUAGGGGCUGGUUUAUCUCUUCCCAUAGCCCAUGAGACCCCUUGGGGCGUGACACCCCUCCCGAUGGUCCCCGGCACCCCUCCCGGCACUCCCGGUACACUACCGAUGAGCCCGAAACUUUUCCGGUAAUGCACGAAAACCUUCCGGUAACCAAAUGAGGUCAUCCUAUAUAUCAAUCUUCGUUUCCGGACCAUUCCGGAAACCCUCGUGACGUCCGUGAUCUCAUCCGGGACUCCGAACAACAUUCGGUAACCAACCAUAUAACUCAAAUACGCAUAAAACAACGUCGAACCUUAAGUGUGCAGACCCUGCGGGUUCGAGAACUAUGUAGACAUGACCCGAGAGACUCCUCGGUCAAUAUCCAAUAGCGGGACCUGGAUGCCCAUAUUGGAUCCUACAUAUUCUACGAAGAUCUUUAUCGUUUGAACCUCAGUGCCAAGGAUUCGUAUAAUCCCGUAUGUCAUUCCCUUUGUCCUUCGGUAUGUUACUUACCCGAGAUUCGAUCGUCAGUAUCCGCAUACCUAUUUCAAUCUCGUUUACCGGCAAGUCUCUUUACUCGUUCCGUAAUACAAGAUCCCGUAACUUACACUAAGUUACAUUGCUUGCAAGGCUUGUGUAUGAUGUUGUAUUACCGAGUGGGCCCCGAGAUACCUCUCCGUCACACGGAGUGACAAAUCCCAGUCUCGAUCUAUACUAACUCAACGAACACCUUCGGAGAUACCUGUAGAGCAUCUUUAUAGUCACCCAGUUACGUUGCGACGUUUGAUACACACAAAGCAUUCCUCCGGUGUCCGUGAGUUAUAUGAUCUCAUGGUCAUAGGAACAAAUACUUGACACGCAGAAAACAGUAGCAACAAAAUGACACGAUCAACAUGCUACGUCUAUUAGUUUGGGUCUAGUCCAUCACAUGAUUCUCCUAAUGAUGUGAUCCCGUUAUCAAGUGACAACACUUGCCUGUGGCCAGGAAACCUUGACCAUCUUUGAUCAACGAGCUAGUCAACUAGAGGCUUACUAGGGACAGUGUUUNNNNNNNNNNNNNNNNNNNNNNNNNNNNNNNNNNNNNNNNNNNNNNNNNNNNNNNNNNNNNNNNNNNNNNNNNNNNNNNNNNNNNNNNNNNNNNNNNNNNUUUGUAAUAAAUUGAAUUAAUAUUAUGUGUUUGAAAAUACUAUUCGAUGUUAUUGAGAUGAUGAAAAUUAUGAUAUAUCAAAUGACAGUUUUAAGGGUUGGGAUUGAGGCAAAGACUAGAACCCUCAAAUGCAACCCUUAUAACAGAAUCCCUCAAACCCAACCCUUAUAACGGAAUCCGUUAUMRKRGUWGGUGGUUUGAGGGUUCUAGCCUUUGCGUUUGUUUUUCAACCCUUAAAAGUGUCAAAAAUAACCAAUUCUUUAACCCUUAAAACUGGUUUUAGAUUUAAGGGUUUGAGGACUCUACUAGACAUGCUCUAACCAUCCAACCACGGGUUGGUUUGCCUAUCUCGGGCCCUUGAUAGCAUCGCAAGCAUAACUUCCUCCGCAGUGCCGGUCGUACUUUCCAUUUCAUCAGAUCAUAGGGUAAAAUUCGGCGACUCUGUAUAUGAAAACCGACCAAAUAUCCACUUUGCUAAGCAACCCCGUUCUGACUUUUCGCGGGAUGACCGCGAUAUUUCUACCGUACAUUGCAUACGUUGGUCCCGUGGCAAAUACGAACGGCUGGUGUUUUUUCCGGGAAACACCAACACCAGCCGUGGCCGGUGCGUCUAAAAAUCUGGGGAAGUAUCCCCUCGUUUCGCCCGACCGUACACGCCGUAGCAACCCAUUCGCCCCGCUGUUGCCGCGACCGUCGUUAUUUUCCUCGGAAUGGAUCAAUGGAAGCAGCUUCGUGUUCAUUGGUCAUCGCUGCAACACGCCUUGACGAGAAGGCUUCGUUCAUCCACACACAAGAUAGGCUGCAGCGUGCCCGUCGUUAUCGACGGAAGCAAGCUGAGCGUACACUAUCAGUCGCAAAUGGCGGUUCAAUCAAGCCGCUGCAGGUGCCGGUGCGUACUGUCGCCUAGAAAACAGGCGUUGACCAGUGCAUACUCGCUGGGAGCACAAAAUAAGUUAAAAUACUAACCAUCAACUUCACUGAACAACCGCAUCGCAGAUGUGAAACAGCAAACACACCAUGCAACGGUCGCAGAACAGAUAAAACCAUCAACUCAAAUUUCCCACGACAUCUUAUCUUCCAGGUCAGCAAAAUCUAUCCUUGACAUGUCAUCAACAAAGAAAGCCCACGCCACGAAAACGCGGCGCCCAAAAAAAACCCGGCCAAAAAGCAAACAAUCUAGGUUUUCGACAUUAUCCAAAAGCAAAAUUUACAUUACGCUAGGAGCUAGCUAGGUUUCCUGAGCAUAUCUCGCCCUCUCCCUCCUAAUGAUGCUGUCUAGUGCUUCUUAGGAUUAACGACCAAGGCCUGGCAGCACGAAGAGAAAGCAUCUGACACGUCGAGGAUCGGGGGGAGAGUGAAAGGAGGGAGGACGCCGCCCUUGUCGUGCGCAAAGGUUGUCAAGGCAUUCCCAGCGAGGGUGUGCGCCAUCGCGGUCUGCUGCUUGUUCAACCCCUCCAUGAUGCACGAGAAUGCUGCGAAGGUGGCGCAAUUCUGAAGCAGCGCUUGUGGUGUACCUGGAUUCAAGCAAACAAGCGUGUAAGAAAAUCAUGCCACCAAAGCCUCAACAAUUUAACAAAAUGACAGUGGUUGAUAUUAAUAAACAUAGUCGGUUAAAGGUAGCAGCCUGGGGGUAGCAAGUGCAGAUAUGAUCUUGAUUAAACAAAAUCAUGCUUGAAAUAUCCUUUCAGUGCAAACUUCUUCUUUUGUUAGAACAACUGAAGAUUGCUGCCUAGAGCUCCUUAGGCCAUGUACAAUGCAAGGCGCUUAGGGGAGGUGCUUGUAGAGAAAUAAACCAGCGUUUAUUUAAGCACCGGUGCUUAUUUGUAGAGGGUAGACACUUAAUUAGGCGUCUCUCCUAUAGAAACAGGCACUGGUGCUUCAGAGAAACCCGGUUUAUUUUUCUAAGCACCUACCAUUGUACAAGGCCUUGGACACUUGGGGUGUGUUUAGUUGCUGGAACGGACCGGAAUGUCACGGGUCCGACCCGUCCCUGGGCCUCGUUCUUGUGUUCAGUUAACAGAUGGAACGAUCACCACCUCGUUCCCAUAAACCGAAUAUUCGUCCCAGAUCCGGAACCGUGUGAGACCUCCAAAACGAGCGGACGACGCGGAACCGGCUCUCUCCUCACACUCCCACUCCUCCUGGCCCGCUGCCUCCCCCUCGCCUCUCUCUCUCUCGCUCGAUCUGCGCCGCCCCGCCCCGCCCCGAUUCCUUCCCUCGCCGCUGGCGAACUGCUUUUCUUGAUCUGCAGCGCUGCUCCACCUCCGGUCCCUGAUCUGGCCAUCCCGGGCGCAUCCCUCGUCUCCCUGUGUAGCACUCCUCGAUAGCAACGACGACGCGUUCCUACAGGCAGCGGCUGGAUUUUUGGUGGCAUUCCUUGGCAGCAGCGUCUUGCGGGGAAUCGAUUAUGCUUGCAACCACGGAGCAACAACCAUGGAGUAGCAGCAGCUGAGCCUCGGCAGGAAGUGGCUAGCAGGCAGCGGAGCGAGAGCAGCAUCGGCUUGCACAGAGAUGAGAGGCAGUAUAGGAAUUGCUUGGUGCGUAUGUUCGAUUGCUUCAACAUAGAGCUUAAUUAGUAUAUAUAGUAGCAGCAUCUAAUUUCUCAUGAUUUUUGUUUGAUGCGUAUGUUGGAUUGCUGGGUAAUGAUUUUUUACCUAUAUAUGUGUCUUGUUAAAUACUCCCUCCAUUUUUAAAUAUAAGGUGUAUUAGUUUUUCAAAAAGUCAACUGUUGUCUAUGUUUGACCAGCAUUAUAGCAAAAUAUAUAAAUAUUUACAAUACCGAAUAUAUAUAAUAUAAAAAUAUAUUUCAGGGUGAAUCUAGUGAUAAUGAUUUCAUAUUCUAGGUAUUGAUAUUUUUGUCAAUAAACUCAAACUUUGACUUUUUUCAAAAAUAAUACACCUUAUAAUUAGGAGAGGGGGUAGAAAAUAGUGUGAAUUUAUGUUUGUAUAUGCUUGAGUGUAUUUAUAAAUUGUUGGCCUUGGAAAAAAAAUUCAAAUGUUUAUCAGUAUUUGAUUACUCUGUUGCUGAAAAUACAAAGAGUAAAAUUGUUCAUAGUGUUGGUGAAAAUCAUUCCAUUCCCAACUCCCAAACCAAACACACAACAGGACCAUUCCAUUCCAGCUAAAUCUCAUAGCCAAACAUAGGAAUGGAACCGACCUAUUCCCGUGGAAUGGAAGCAUGACAUUCCAUUCCGCUUCGUUCUUGAACCAAACACACCCUGAAUACUACACUUGUUGAAAUGGCAUGACUGCCAUGAGCCAGAAGCACAUGCGCCACUGCCAGUAAAGCAACAGAGAGAUGCAGUGUGAACAGAGUGGGUAUGUGUGAUGCAUAAGAUUGUGUUUAGCACAUCACCAACUUAAACUAUAAUUACCACCACUGAUAAACACAUGCGCAUUGCAGUUUAAUUGGAGUGCAAGAUGUGAAGUCCUUAACAGUAUCUCAAAGAAUUCAAGGGCUUGGUCAGUUAAAUGGACUCUUUGCAUUGUUGCCCAGUGGCUGCAGGACUCCAUAACAAGCAAGACAGGCAGUUAGUGUCUUCUACUGUUAAAAUUGUAGAUGAUGCUUCAUCUUAUCAUGCAAACAAUAACUCCUGAUUUUAGUGAAUUACGUACAAGUGAUAUUGGGCUUAUUGUAAAUUAAUUUACUUGAAAUUCUACAAUGAUAAUAAGUAAUUCAGUCUUGUAUUUCCAGGCCAAUUUCAGUGCAUGUUUGUACUCAGUUUCUCUAAGUAAGUAUGAUAACAAUAUACAUCAUGAACUGGACACACAGCUAAAAUUAAACUUUAUCACUCAAUGGAUAAAUUACACAGUUGGAUAACAAACUAGAAACCUAAUUAUAACAUGUUCGAAGUGUUGAUUACAAGGACCAUCCCAGAAUCCAUGCAUAGGAGCUUAGCAAUUCAUAUUUACAGAAAUAACAUUUUCUGAUAAUCUAAAGAACAAUCUUUUUUAUGUAUUCCAGCAACAAGAAUAACAACAAAGAGUACUUUGUCACCAGAAAGUGAAGACAAAGCCAAAAACUGCUUUCAACUACUACCAAAUUUUUUCAGAACAUUAUGCAAUACCACCGAAUAUCGCAUCACAACAUCUUCAUACUAAUACUAAGCAAUGGCAAUCACAAUCUAUAUCUAUAUCUAUACCUAAUAAUAAAGCGGCUAUUGCUUCCGUCGGAAAACCCACCGCGGCAUUUUUAUAAAAAAGCCCCUGUAAUUUUUGUUAUUCAACCUGCGCUCCAUCAUUUAUCUGCAACGUAAAAGGAAAAAACGAUUCGCUGCAAAAAUUAUACCCGUACGCAUCGCCUCCUCCCGUCUACCCUGGGCCACCCUGGCCUGUGCCCAGGCCGCCGCCACACCACUCGCCGCCGCGGCCGACCUCAACCGCCACUGCUGCCGAUCUCAACCCAUCCGCCUCCGCGGCCGUACCUCUCCCCGCUCAACUGCCCCUGUUGCUGCGCUCAAGCGCAUCGCGUCGACCCUGGUCCACCCUGGCAUGUGCCCAGGCCGCUGCCACACCACUCGCCGCCGCGGCCGACCUCAACCACCACUGUUGUCGAUCUCAACCCACCCGCCUCCGCGGCCGUACCUCUGCCCGCUUGCUGCACCCUGUUUCGGCGCUCGAGCACAACUUCUGGAUCAAAUCAACGCGACAGCUACAGUGACUGGGGAUGAUGCGUCUGCUCGAUGCAGAACGGCGGCGGCGCGCGGAUAAGGCGCGGCGGAGCGAAGUACUUGCAGGUGGAGGCGGGCCUCCAUGGCUCACACGGGGAACUCCGAGGUUAUGGCGCGGCAACGGCAACUCCUUAUGACCAGAUAGAGGCGCCUAACCCUUGCUCCCCUCAUCGUAUCCCCUCCUCCGGCAGGAACUCAUCAUCUGGUGAGAUCCCCUCCCCAUGCCUCCAACCGUGUGCGAAGCACCGGCAAGAAAUUUUGUUUUGUGGAGAUUUGUUUGCUGAUGAAUGGAUGUAUUGAAUGUAAGAUUGUAUUGUUGUAGAGACAGAGAAUGGAACACCACCUUCAGUUUGUCAUCUGAUCCCACAUUCUCUACCCCAUGAGUGAAAUAAGAUAACAGUCCAUUGAUCAAUUCACGUAGCCUCAUUGUUUUGCUUUGCUUGUCCCGCUCAAUUUCUCAUCAUGGUGGAAUUAACAAUGGACGGGUUGAUUUCUCAACAAAAUAGGAUAGGACUGACUACAUUAGUUAGUUAGCUUAUUAUUUUAAUAAAUCAAAAUGAUUAUAAAAAGAUUAAAAGUGUGUGGUAUUUUUUUCUUCCGUUGCAAUGCACGGGCCCUUUUGCUAGUAGUAAGUAAGCGGUGAAAAAUGUUGUUAGUUCAAUGUGAAUGUACCUGGAAAACUCAAAGCAAGACCUGUGCAACAACCAGCAAUGCCGGAAUUGAUAACUGCAAAAGGAACAUGUUAGUUCAUACUGUGUAUCCAACUCCCAAGGUGUUAAUAAAAAGGUGACCACUAAAAAGAUGCACAUACUAUCAUCUUUCCCACGCAGCUUCCUCAACAAGCACAAAACCAAACUCUGGACACCAGAUAGAACCGCAAAACUCUGGUCCAAGAAAUUUAUACCAUCAGCAAGCAGUUUAUGAAAAUGAUAGGGCAAUUUCCUAGUUAAGAAUAUGCACACAAAGGUGGACACAAACUUUGGCAGAAGACCCUGCAUUGCCGAGUGAGCCCUUGAAGCCCUUCUUAGUUAGCAAACCUUGUCCUGAAAAAAGAACCCCGAGGUGCAAUGUAAGGAUUUUAUGUGAGGGAAUUAAACGGGUGUCACAGGUGUUGUUAGUGACAGCAUGUAGAGCACUAGUGCCUCCGUUAUGCUAACAGAAUAAGUAUCUAAAUAUUUGAAGAGAAAAUAAGGAUAUAAAUGAAGAUUAAAUGAAUACAAACAAUGGGAGAUUAUAGUUAACUAAAAGGAAUUGUAUCAAAUGUGCACAAUCAUAUAAUCUUAGAUUCUAGCAAGAACUGGGUGCAAAACCUAAGGCAACGGAAUUUCCUAAUAAGAACUGAACACUGAUAACAGAAAAUUCUCAGACCGCCCGCGACAGAAUUAACCAAAGCAUCACGGCAGAGGAGAGUAAUCCGGAAAAGGAUAAGAGGGGGGGUGGGGGGUUGAUUACCAUAUCCAAAGAUAGAUCCGACGAAGGCGCCGCCGGCGAAGUCCCCGGCGGACCUGAGGACGCAUACGGCUGGACCGGCGGCAAGAGGCGGGAGGGAUAGGGAGGAGCCCCCCUCGGCGGGGUUGGUCCCCACGUCGCCGUCCGACUCGUUGUCGUUCCUCGCCGCCAUGUCCGUCCUCCCUGCAAGUUCCGUUAUCGUUUGCCCAGGCCCAGGGUUGGAGACUUGGAGUAUAGAGGACGGGACUCCAGCCUCUGGUAGGCGGGUCCCGCUGCCAGUUCCCCCGGGUUGGGUAGCCCGGCCGGCCGGCCGGCUUUACAAGCCCAAUCGAACAAACCAUAUUAAACAAAGCCCAAUCAAACAAACCAUAUUAAAUAAGCCCAAUCGUAGCGGACGACAGACAAAUCGUCCGUUGCAGAGGUGCCCUCUAAUCAGUUUUUCCUUUUUUCUCAAAAAAAAUAUAAAUAAGUUUUUCCUUUUGCCUAAAAAAUACUAUAAAUUAGUUUUACUGACUUGUUUCUAGGGGAAAUUUUGCGACUCCUUUUAAGUAUUUUAUUCUUAAACUUUGGAACUUGUUUACCACAUUCGCACGCAGAAUUUAUUUAUAGUACAUUUAAUCAUGUACGUUCAAGUUCGUCAAAAAAAAAAGAUCAUGUACGUUCAACAAAAGAAAUUCACCCAUGUGGCAAUCUGAACUCUGAAGACGCAUGAGGCGAGCACUGUGAACUGCCUCAGAACAAUGUGUACCGUCUCAUUAACGAUUCAUAUACCCGUCUACAGUUCCUGAUUACUGUAACUUGUUCCAUAUGCUGCCAUGGUAAAUUGUUCUGAACUUGCAACAUUUCACCUCAAAACAUCAGGCGCCACCUCAACUGCUCAGGAACCCAACACAGGGUUCUUCCUAUUAUUGCUAUAUACUCCCUCCGUUCCAAAAUAAGUGUCGCUGCUUUACUAUAAAAUUUGUACUAACUUAAUACUAAAUUUGCGUCACUUAUUUUGGGACAGAGGGAGUAUAUCUUUAUACGCAAUUGCCUGAAGCAAUUGUAGCCAGAUGAAGGCAGUACUCAUCAGCAUGAGUGUGCCGAUACCGCACACAAUUAGCCUGUAUCAGUUUGGUACUUUGGUGAAGACCAGCCACUGAUGCAUGUCCACUGCAGCACAACUUGGGACACAUAAUCAGAUGUCACCAGCUUCCUAUGGUCAGAGGAGAGCUCAACGGGAGUUCAGCUGCAGGCGCCUCCAAUGUCACCUGAGAGAUAGGGAUAAUGAGCUCUAGCAAGGAAAGAUGGAGCAGUAUGCUAAAAGAUGGUAUUUGCAGAAGUGGGAGUGUCAAAAAUUAGUACCUCCUUAAAAACUGCACUGUGGGAAGCAUCCUUGAAGCCCUGAGUUCAGACCACAGAACAUACAAUUAUGAUCCAGCAAUCAGAAACAAACGAGGAGAAGGGGGGCAAGAACGGCGGGUUCAUCUGCUCACCAAUUUUCUGAAGAGCUUUAACGAUGCAGUAUUUGAGUCACUAAUUUUUGCUCUGAAAGUGUGAAUUCCGUAUUUCUCUACUGCAAACGACAUCAUCAUUAAGGUCACUUCUUGACCUAGUCCCUUUCCACGGCUGCAACACGAAGCAAUGGAAGUAUGGAACCAUGAGUAACAUAACUGAACACCAUCAGUCUAUCACAAUCUCAUUUCAAAACAAUCUGCUAAACUCUAUAUUAUGAAUGAGUACUGCAUCAAGUAAUAACAGUAGAUGUAAAGCAACUACGAAUUACGUUGUGUUUGUUAACAAUUUAAUCACUUUAUAACACUGAGAUCAUGUCAAGGGCUUUCACAGGAGCAUAAGCGUUUGGGGCUUUGGGCAAUACAGAGGUUAAAGAUUUGCAACACUAAGUUUAUAUUAUCUCUCUGUUGCAGGUACACAAAACGGGCUGCGAGAAAACAUAAUUCUAGCGGAUUAUUAAAUAGUAGCAUAUUGGUGAAAUUUCCUACGAGUGCAGUUGGUGAAAAAGUAUCAGUGUAUCACACUACUGAUAAUUCAAAGGAUAAUAAGUUGAGUAGUUGCAAUUGUAACCAGUUUUUAAGCUAAAACAGAUACUCAUGACAUACACAAUUCAAUGUGAAGCCCAAAUUGGACUAUCAAAGCAUGUUGGCUGUCAGAAUGGACAGAGUAUGCAUGUAAUUUCCCAUGAAUAAAAAAUAAUGAAAUAUAGAACAUAUAUCUAAGUUGAUGAGAAGAGGUACUAAACCAACACUUAAAAGAUGGUACCUCUUUUGUUCAGCUAUCAUAAUCUCUAUCUCCGCAAGUUCCAAAUCAUCAGGGUCAUUCAUAUAGAUGUUGACAUCGCCAAUCAUAGCUGCAACAGAUUAGGAAGAGCAUUAACACUAGCAGGACCUGGCAAACUGCUAAAUAUGAAAUCAACGCAAAUUUAACUAAUCACAUUCAUACAUAGAUGCUUUCAGUAGGGCACCACUGGAUUGUUUGAGGAGACCUUACUUGUGCUAAACCAACCUAUUGCUAGGAGAUUCUUGUACAUUGGUCGGAAGUCUGAAGUUAUGAACAUAUACUAGUAAUGAAGGCUGAAGGACAGGCAAGUGAGCUACAGAACCUAGAGGAGGAGAACAGUCCUUGUCUUAACUGUUGUAUGCAUACAACAAUGAUCUAGACUUAGAUCACUACAUCAACAUCAGGAUCCUCUAAACACUAUAGUAGAGAUGUGAAUUCAAAUUUUAACUUGAAGACUUCAUUUGCACCCUACAAAUACUGGUAGUGAAACGUCUGUAAAUUCAUUUGAGUAGCUUUCUGUGUCAACUAGAGAUAUGAAGUUCAUAUAUAACUAACUGACAUCAAAUAGUACACAGUUUGAUGAUCAUGAAGUCAAAUGCGUAUUGUUUUCUACCUGAAAAAUGUGUAUCAUCUUUCAUCUAUAUGUUCUAGUAACUCUGGCAUAUAAUUGAAGGACUGAACCGGCAUUCCUCCUCCCCUUAUCCAUUUUCCACCCAGAAGAUCUGGGUGCUCUCCACCCCCGCUUGACAGCUGAGGCCUCCUCCUCCCAACACCGUUGCAUAAGUCUAACAUGCUACUGUUAGCCCAUUAGAUUGCUCCAAUAUUUAAUUCCCAAACCGUUCCUCCUUUGAGGAACCUCAUUGCGUAAUGGUCUACACAUUCCAUCUCAUCUGACCACAGAGAAGAAUCAAAGGUACAGAAAUGGCAUGGUUUUGUUUUGGUAUUCUAAAUAUUCGAGUCUCAGUCAAUCUACGCUUACACCAGAGCCACAAUAUCCUCCUCACAACAUGUAUGCAAAACUGCAACCAGAAUCGUACCAGAUUCAUGUAACCUCUGAUUCCCAAUUCCUAUCAUGGACUGAGCUAAUCAAGUUAAAACAUUACUGAGCAACGUGCAGAAGAGAGUAGCAAACCUUCGGUGUGUGGGUUCCCGACCACGAAGUCUCCCUCGAUCAACUCCUUAUCCAGCACUAUGAAAGUGUGUUCUGCACACACACACACACACACACACACACACACACAAACAAGCAUCUCACUGAAUCAGUCGCAGCGCGUCAGCUCACCACCAAAUCUGGGGCAAACUAGAGGAAGGAGAUCGGGGAAGCAGCGAGGGGGAAGGAGCUCAACUGAGAGGGUCGAGGGUCCAGGAGCGAUGGACCUCGAACUCCUGGGCGAGGGAGAGCGGCUCCGACGCGGUGGCCUCCAGCAGCGCCGGGUCCUGCAUCCACUCGUGGUACCGCGGGACGUGCUCACGCAGGUACGGCACCAGCACCGCGCGCUCCCCCACCGCGUACCAGCUUCCCUUCCGCCCCCUCCCGUCGUCAUCUCCGCCCUCGGCCGCAGCCGCCGCGGCCACCGCCGGCUCGGCGGGCGCCUCCAUUGCAGCCGCAGGCAGGGUUUCAGCUUCGGCCCACGGUCCACGGAACAGUGGGCCGCCGCGUCAACUUUCUUACACAUUAAUGACCGAUUUAUCUGCCUCUAAAAAAAUGACCGAUUUAUCAGCAAGUACGCCACCGUCAAAGGAAAACGUACUAGUACAGUAUUUCGUAAGCUCUCUACGAUGGUGCUACACUAGAGCAGCGAAACAAUUACAAGGCGGAAUUCUGAAGCAGUGGAAUCUUCACAGCUUCACGCAGACUGCUAAACGAAGGGAACGGUAAACCCCAUUGUUAGCUGCUCAUGGAGGAAGGGUGAUCGGGUGAAAGAAAUGAUGGAAAGAUAGAUUGGCCUCGCGAAAACUUGGACUCGGAGGGGUAUAAAUAUAGCCAUCACUGCUGGUCUAUCUCUAACCUUUUUAGCAUAUAACGUGAAAGAAGAAGGACGCAUACAUAUAGCUUUUCAUCAGCCAAAAAAGACUGUCAAUGUGCAUUGACAUGUCCAGAGCUACUUUACCGCUGCUACAAAAUACAUUGGGAUGCUGGAGGGAACUGAUAUUCGGAAGCCCCAUAGUCCCGCCUUUGGUAAUUACGAGGCAUCGAGUAAAAUGACGAUGAGGAAGUAGAAGGUGUCGUUUGACUUUGUUAAGGACGAUAUGUCUGAGCAGGUAGAGCACUUAGGCUGUUCUACAGAAACAUUCUCUUGUUUUUGUUUGUCAGAACUUUAUAAGAUAUUCAUUUGUAUUAAACAUACUCGGAUGGUGUCCUAUAGAAGAGUGGAGGACAUUUCGCAAAGCUUGUGCCGACAACCAAUGAUGUAGUUUUUGCUGGUUCUUUGUGUUCUCUUGAAAAAUAAAAUGUGCUUAGUUUAUUUAUUUUUCAUACUUCCUCCACAAAUAGGAAUUUAGAAGAUCCAUUUUGUUUCCUACAACUUACUUUAAAACAUGCACACAAUGGAAUUAAGAAUCCAUUGCUCUCUUCAGAUAAGAUAUCGCUCUAUGUAUGAAAGCAAUGACCGUUAUACCAAUUACAAACUUAAAUGGUGUAUGGAAAACAAAUAAUAAUAAAAUGUUGUCUUCUUUUCAUAAAGGGGUGAUCUCUUUAUGACUAACAGAUGCCUGAUUUUCUCUUCUUCAAAAGGUCUUAUUUUGUGGCAAUUCUGAUUCAAAUUAAAUUACCACAUAUUUUUACAUCGAAGUAUGCAUUAAAUUACCCCAUGUAUGUGCUAGUAAUGCUAGUUAGUAAAGCCAUUUUUGUGUUGGAUUGGAAUCAUAGUAAUCAGCGAAACCCCAUGUCACCUAGAAAAAUCACCAUCAAAACAUUCAAAUGCAAUAUUUUUCUGGAUGUGGAAAAUUCAUACAAACAUGAUGCUCUCUCUGUUUCGCUUGCACGCAUAAGUACUGAAUUUUCGGUGCAAUGCAUUACCCCCUUGUGUUUUGGAGAUUGCUGUCAGAAACAGUCAUGGACUGAUUUGCUUGCUAGUGCACACAGAGAGAAUUAGUCCAUGAAAAUCCGAGAAGAAUGAUAUAUUCUGUCUAGAAGUUCGAAGAACUUCAUCGAAGAUUAUCUAUGUUGUGGAGAAGAAGAAAGUAUAUCUCAAGAAAAGAUGACACUGAGAAGAAUAUGUGAAUAGAUUGAUCCCAUAAAAUGUUGCUGACGCAAAGCAAUUUUCAUUCGUGUGUCCCAAGUAGAAUGACUUUAGCUGAGAAAUGUGACGAUGAAGUGAAGAUGUAGCAUUUGUUUUGUUGUUCUUAUUUGUCUUAUUUAAGUCAUAGUACCACCUACUAUUAAGAGGGGUAUAGGUCAUCGAAGCUUAGGUACAUUGUGUUGCUUAGUCGAAACCUAUGAAGGACUGAGAGAAAUCUCUUUGUGCUCUGAAUGGUUACUUGACAGCAAGAGACAAAGUUCUUUUGAGAUAUCCUUAGAACCGAGGAUUUGGCUUUACUUGCUCCGCAAGGAAACACUACAUCGGGAAGGUCCUAAGAUGACACGUGUCUCGCAGACCAUUCGGCCAAACUGUAUGCGAUGAUAAAUCACAAACGCUAAUAAAAUAAAGUCGCGUGCAAGAAAAUGAAAUGUGUGACAUACCAUCCAUUAGGCGUGAUAAUGGUAUGCACACCAUGUGUGAUAGUGGGCACACACUUAGAGGCAAAAUUAUGUGUGAUAUAUGUAGUCGUAACGCGCACGGUUGCAAUGUUCUAAGUGACUGUGUUUGUUGGAAAACACUUUAUAGAAACAAAUUGUUUGCGAUAGUUAGGACCAUCUCACAUGUUGCGUAGUGUGAGUACUCAUGUAUUAUGAUUUAAAAGUUACUAGUACCGAGAAACUGGAGAUGGACUUGUUAGUUUUGUUGAUUCUGAUUUUGCUGGUGAUUUGGAUAAGAGAAGAUCACUCACAUGUUAUGUUUUCAUCAUUGGUGGUUGUGAUGUGAGUUGGAGAGCAACUUUGCAGUCUAUUGUGGCUUGUUCCACUACUAAUGCCGAAUAUAUGGCUAUUUCUGAGGCAUGCAAAGAAGCUAUCUGGUUGAAAGGUUUAUACACUGAGCUUUGCGGAGAUUCAUCUUGCCCUACCAUAUUUUCUGACAGUUAAAGUGCUAUAUAUCUUACAAAGAAUCCAAUGUAUCAUGAGAGAACGAAGCACAUUGAUGUCAGAUUUCACUAUGUUCGAGAUGUUGUUGCUAAAGGUGAUUUGAAGGUAUUAAAGAUAAGUAUUCAUAAGAAUCCAGCUGAUAUGAUGAAAAAGUCAGUUCCUACCAAUAAGUUUGAGCUUUGCUCAAGCUUAAUUGGUAUUUCGCACUAGUCCUUUGGACUUUGACGCACAAGGUGUUUAUGCUGAUUUGGAUGGAGUUAUUCACUUUCUUCGACUACUGGAAGGAAUCUGGCUCAAGGUGGAGAUUGUUAAUUUGUGAUCUAAAUUCUACUGUAUUGGACUAGACGUAGUACAAAUGGUGUGGGCUUUUGCGUUGGUACCGACAUGUACGAGUACAACUCGUUUACUUGUCCUCCAAGGACUCUCAUGUAUUGCCCCUCAUAUAUACUUCAUGUAGUCGCACCUAAAGACGACCUGUCGUCUCGUGCUUGUAAUACUCCAUCCUUAUAGUGAUUGCGCCUUCGUGCGUCCGUGGUUUUCUUCCGCAAGGGUUUGCACGUAAAAAUUUGUUUGAUCUGUGGUCCACGGAGCAGUGGGACAUGGCCUCAACUGAUUUACCCUGCCUAAGUCAUUCACUCGUCACUUGGUAUGCCACUUGGUAUGCCAGUUCAAACUGGAGAAGGAUUUUGCAAUUAUCAAAACACGCUACCAAUAUGCCGCUUUUGCGGAUAAGGAAAAAACAUCACUUGACGGCGAAAUUCUAAGGCAGUGCAAAUUUCAUGCAAACAUGGUGCUCUAUCUGUGUUGGUUGCCUGGAUAGCUAUAGCAUGACUACACACAUUGUUGGUUGCUCAUGCGUAUUGGCAUGGGAAGGUGAAAGAAUUGGAUAGAUUGGUCUAUAAAGUGAGCCAUCUUUUAGCCAGUUUAGCGUAGUUAGCAGCAGCAGGAAACUAUCACUGUGUUAAUAUAGGUUCAGAAGAGAUUGAUGGGAACAAAAUGUAUUGUGAUGUUGGAGGAAACUGAUAUCGUAGUGUGUACGUUCAGGACUGGUUUCAGAAUUUGUGCUGACUUGACGACUGUGGGAUGGAGAGUAAGAAGCCAAAGUGAGGAAUGCAAGAAAAUUAUCAGAAUAAUUGCUUACCUGUGAAUAUGCAUCUGAUUGCGUUUAUAUAAAAUAAUAUUUGUCUUAUGUAUUGUAACAUCUUGAUUUCAGCAAGAUAUUAGGAAAACUGUAUGGCUUCAUGUUUGAAACCAUCAAAACAUUCCCUGCUUCCUUCAAAUGAGUUUUUGUGUGCAAAAUAUAUAUGAUACUAUAUAUCAGUUACCACUGUUUAUUUUGAGAAAAAGAUUGAAGGGGGUCCCUAUAGGGUAAUAAUUAGAAGCCAAAAUCCGAGUCCACUAAACUUGAAUUUACAUGGUGAAAUUGCACAAUCACUGAUUAGGAUCAACAACAGCAACAAACAAUUCUAACAGUCCAUUAACAGCAAGACCCAACUACAGAUGAUAACAAUGAUCCAGGUGCCAUGAGCCCUCCCUGAACGCAUGCUAUUCACACGCUGGCACUCCACUAAUCCUCCUUACAGAUUUUAAGCAUAUGAUAAACUCCCUUGCUUUCGCCCAUGCUACUUUUCUCCGAUCAUGCGCUUUGCCAACAAGAAUCACACAACUCUCGUCGGUCGGAGCCGUGCCUUCAAAGCCAAUAAUGGCAAGCUUAGCCAGGACCAUCAUCAUCAUAAUCAUCAUGAUCCUAACCGCUAAAGCUCACGCGAAACAUUUCCCAGCCGAUCGAAUCCAUGGUAGUAUCACAUCACCACGCCGGUCGUGGGCGAGCGGCCACCAAAUCUUCCACUUAGCAUCAAUCAGUCUGCUCACUGCUGUGUGAGAUCACCUAACCUAGUAAAUGUAGCAUUAAUAGGCUGGUAAAUUGCAAUUGAUAUACUAUAGCCCAUAAGCAAAAUGUAAAAUUCUUAUAACUUACUAGUCUUUUGGCAAACUUAUGGAUGCGAAUUUGGAACUUUUAGGGUAUCCUCCGACCCUUCUUCUGUUGUAUCGUUUCAAUUUUAUCCGAGGGGAUCCUCCGACCCUUCUUAGUUCAACUAAAUAAACUAAAUUUCGCCUGCCUAGGCAAACUCUUACUGUGAUUUAGCAGUUCGUCAGCUUUGAUCCAUGUGCUCCUUUCACAUUCUUCUUCAGUUGAGCUGGCCCAUCCACAGUAUGCAAGCAUGUGUGUCUGAAACUUCCAUUGUGCAGCUCAAAUUUUGGUUAACUACUACAGUCGCAGCAUGCCUUUUGCACCUACCACCACCACCGAUCUAACCCAGGAGGCAAGUGCAAGAUGGGGCCAAAGUUGGGCACCACACAGAUCACCACAGAAUAUUUUCAGGCCUGUUUGUGGAGGCUCUCCCUCCCUUGCCUUCGAAGCCAAGAACCCAUCAUCGAAACGGAACGAAAUACACACAACCAACCAAACGGGAGCAGCACACGCGGUUCACAGCCAUCAUCACAUUUCACAAUCACCCUCCAAAACGCCCCACUAAAACCCCACUUACGAGCGCAGACAAAACCCAACCCAACGCACGCCACGCACACUCACACUCACACACGCCACCGCGCUCUGUUAGCUCGACACCGCUGCCCAGCUCCACGGGGGCACGAUCGAUCAACAACGACAAUGAGGAGAUUCGAUGCGCUGCUGAUGCUCGUUGUGGUCGUCGUCCUUCCGAGCGGCGGGGCGGCGGCGGCGGGGGCGCCGGGGCGGUGCACGACGUCGACGCCGGUGAAGGCGUACGCCAAGUGCAUCGCGCUGCCGACGCAGGGCGCGACGCUGGCGUGGACGUACGACGCGCGCAACGCCACGCUGGACGCGGCCUUCACGGGGUCCUUCAUCUCGCCGUCGGGCUGGGUGGCGUGGGGCGUCAACCAGGACGCGCCGGCCAUGGCCGGGGCGCGCGUGAUCGCCGCCUUCUCCGACCCGUCCACGGGCGCGCUGCUCGCGCUCCCGUUCGUGCUCUCCGCCGACGUCAAGCUCCAGGCCAAGCCCCUGGUGUCCCGCCCGCUCGACAUCCCGCUGCUGGCCUCCUCGGCGUCCCUCGUCGCGCCGGCCCGCACCGUCCGCGACGGCGCGACCGUGACCAUCGCCGCCACCAUCCGGCUCGCCCCGAACCGCACCAGGGUCCACUUCGUGUGGAACCGGGGCCUGUACGUGCAGGGCUACUCCCCGACCAUCCACCCCACGGACGCCUCCGACCUGGCGUCGCACGCCACCGUCGACAUCCUCACCACGGCGACGGAGUCGUCCCCCAUCGCGUCCCCCAGGCUGCAGUGGGCGCACGGCUCCCUGAACGCGCUCUCCUGGGGCCUCCUGCUGCCGGUGGGCGCGGCGCUGGCGCGGUACCUCCGGCCCUGCGCGUCGGCGGGGCCGGCGUGGUUCUACGGGCACGCGGCGGUGCAGGCGACGGGGUACGCGCUGGGGGCGGCCGGGUUCGCGCUGGGGAUCGCGAUGGGGGCGGCGUCGCCCGGGGUGACGUACAAGCUGCACCGCGGGCUGGGCAUCGCGGCGGCGACGGCGGGGAGCCUGCAGACGCUGGCGGUGUUCUUCCGGCCCAAGACGACGAACCGGUACCGCAAGUACUGGAAGUCGUACCACCACCUGGUGGGGUACGGGUGCGUGGUGAUCGGGGUGGUGAACGUGUUCCAGGGCUUCGAGGUCAUGGGGCUCGGCGCGUCCUACUGGAAGCUCGGCUACUGCAUGGCGCUGGCGACGCUCGUCGGCGGCUGCGUGGCGCUGGAGGUGAACGCAUGGGUGGUGUUCUGCCGGAGGCAGCACGAGGAGAAGCUCAUGCGGCGGGAGGUGGAGGACGUCGUCGUCAAGGACAGGGCCGCCGCCUUCUAGGUUCUAGCUAGCGCGCCGCGCCAUGAUCGGCGCCGUUGCUUCCCUCUGUUUUACACCGGCACGCAGGGCUUUUUUUUGAGAGAGCGAAGAUACAUUGAGAAUGCAGACACGGCCACGAAGUAAUUGAAUGGGUGCGGUCACGCGCCACGUUACCGGGGACAGGCAGUGCUUAUUGGUUUGUCGGAAGGUGGGCGUGUGAAUUCCUUCCCGGGCUGGUGUGUGCCGUUGUACUCCACUGUUUUUCUUCUCCUAGUUCUUGAUCUAUAGUUCUACUAUACGAUAGUACAUAGAGGAAUUCAUGUACAAGUUGUUCCACUUUUUCAGUUUCUCAGUAUAACUUUGCACCUAGCCGAUUCUUGGUAAAGAAACCACGUCAUGAAUUGUGAAAAAAGGUCUGCUUUUUUUACGAAAGAGGCACCACAUCUCUUUUUUUUUUUGGCAGAGCUCUGCGCCGGUGCGCCUGCCGAAACUUUUGGCCGGCUGCGCGCGGGUCAUACGAUCCAUCAACCCCCGCGCGUCUGCAUCCUUGGAUCUGCAUGCAACAUCUUUUUCCCCGAUGCAGCAAAAAUCUGACACGACGCAGCAAUUUUUUCAACGCUUGCAACAAAAAACAAAAAAUAUAGUAAAAAAAUAUCUACGUGAUCGUAGCAAAAAAACGAAGCUGAUGUUGCGUGGUAGCAAAAGUCAAACGCCGUUUGUAACAAAUAUCUACGUAAACGUGUAUGCAACUUUUUAGUGAACGGUUGCAGCAAAAAAUAAUGCAGGUUGUAGCAAAAAUUAACACGGUUGUAGCAAAAGUAAAAAACAUCGAUUGUAACGAAAAAUCCGACGAACUGGAGUUGCAACCAAACGUAUAUGCAUCUUUUUUACUGAACAUAUGUAGAAAAUAAAAACGUUUGUAGCAAAUAUGACGCUGGUUGCAAUAUUUUAGACAGAAAAAUGUUGCAUGCCCAGUCAGCGCUCAGCGCGCGAGCCGCGUGCGGCCGGCCGAACGGUUCGACCGGCGCACCGGCCAGAAACGAUUCCCUUUUUUUAAGGAUAACCUCCGGCCUCUGCAUGAGAGCAAUGUAUGUGGUCCCUUAAAUAAGAAUGCAAACACAAAGUCUGAAGUUCCGAAUAAUCUCUAACGAGUAAACAUAAACCAAAUAAUAAAAGUAAAGGAUGCCACAACCGGGAAAAAUAGGCCAAGUUGCCUAGCCAUCUAUCCUAUUACUGGACCGUCAUGGAGACCGGUUAUAGAUAUCCCGUGCUACUGUCUCCCAUCGGAUAGACCCAGUAACCAAAGGCUUCUUGAUUUCCGCAUGAGUGAGUAAGGACCACAUACGGAUGAAUGCCGACGCCCUGUGAAGUACCUGCAAAAAAUUUAUAUGUGUUUGUCUGUUUAAAGACCAAGUCAUUCCUUCAAUUCCAUAUCGCCCAAAGAAGUGUGCAAACUCCUAUGUGAAUAUGUCUAGCCAUAAUCAAGUCCACUCCAUUGAGCCACGCACCAAACAACGUGUCAAUGCUAUCAGGCGGUAUGAUAUUACAUGCUAUGAGGAUUGUCUGCCAUAAGAUUUUCGCUAAUGGGCAAUGGAGAAAAAGGUGUUUGAUUGUCUCCUCAUCAUCACAAAAGCUACAACGAGUACUCCCCUCCCAAUUGCGUCGUGUCAAAUUAUCCUUAGUGAGAAUCACCUUCUUGUGAACAAACCACAUGAAUACUUUGAUUCUUAAAGAAACCUUGAUCUUCCAAAUAUGAAUCGACUUGGGGACUACUGUUGUGUCAAUAAGGUUCACAUGCAUGGAUUUCAUAGAAAAGAUGCCCUUAUUUGUUAGCUUUCACUGAAGCUUGUCAGACUCAUCCGAUAGGUGAACAUCCAUUUGUCUUCUCACUAAGUGGAUCCACUCAUCCCAUCGAUGUCCUAUCAAAUCACGUCUGAAUUGAAUAUUUAGAGAAUUUGAUUGAAAUACUAUGGCAACGUACGCAUCCUUACGUUGCACAAUAUUGUAGAGAGACGGAUAUUGUUUGGCUAGAGGCGUCUCCCCCCCAACAAAGUAUCUUUCCAGAAUCUCGUAGACCGACCAUCUCCAAUGAUAAAUUUAGUUCUAUGGAAAAAUGAUGCUUUCACUUUCAUCAAACCUUUCUAGAAUGAUGAAUCAUUGGGUCUUGGUGUGAGCUGGGUCAAGCUUUUAGAAUGCAAGUACUUAUUACGCAAAAUUUGUAUCCACCUACCUUCAGUCUCUACAGAUAGUCUCAAUAGCCACUUACUAAGCAGGCAUUUGUCCUUAACCUCUAAAUUUUCAAUUCCAAGACCUCCCUCGUCCUUGGGUCUACAUAUAAUGUCCGAUCUAGUAAGUCUGUACUUCUUAUUUAUUUCAUCAUUUUGCCAAAAGAAACGAGAUCGAUAAAAGUCCAAUCUUUUGCGUACUCCUACAGGUACCUCAAAGAAGGAGAGAAGGAACAUAGGCAUACUUGUCAUGACCGAGUUAAUCAAAAUCAGCCUACCGCCAUAAGGCUAAAGCUUGACCUUCGAGCAGCUUAGCUUUUUCUCAAAAUGAUCCUCAAUACACUUCCACUCUUUGUUUGAAAGUUUACGAUGGUGAAUGGGUAUGCCUAAAUAACUGAACGUAAGCUCCCGAACUCAUAUCUGAAGAGUUGUUUAUAAUCAUCUUGUUCAUCUUUGGCUCUUCCAAAACAGAAAAAUUCGAUCUUGUGGAAAUUAAUUUUAACCCCGGCAACUGUUUGAAAAGGCAAAGGAUAAGUUUCAUGUUUCUUGCUUUUGCUAUAUCGUGCUCCAUAAACAAUAUAGUAUCAUCAGCAUAUUGUAGAAUAGACACCCACCAUAAACUAGAUGUGGUACCAGUCCACCUACCUGACCUUCCUCUUUAGCCCUUCCUAUUAGAAUUGCUAACAUGUCCGCAUUUACAUUAAAUAGGAUGGGUGACAUAGGGUCUCCCUGCCGGAGCCCUUUGUGCGUUUGGAAAAAAUGACCAAUGUCAUCAUUGAUUUUAAUUCCAACGCUCCCUUUUUGUACAAAUGAUUUGACAUUCCCUCUCCAUAUGUCAUCGAAUCCCUUCAUACGCGAAGCUUGUUGUAGGAAAGACCAUUUAACCUUGUCGUAUGCCUUCUCGAAAUCCACCCUGAAGAUAAACCCGUCUAGUUUACUCGAGUGGAUUUCAUGUAGGGUUUCGUGAAGGACAAGCACACCCUCAAGUAUGUUUCUCCCCGACAUGAAGGCUCUUUGACUAGGUUGCACGACAACAUGUGCAUUCUGUGUCAAUCUAUUAGUUCCAACCUUUGUGAACAUUUUGAAGCUCACAUUAAGAAGGCAAAUUUAUCUGAAGUUUUCAAUGUGUACUGCCCCUCCUUCUUUGACAACAACAUAACUGUCCCAAAGUUAAGGUGGAAAAGUUGCAGAUUGUCAUUAAACAAAUCCUGAAACAUCGCUAGUAAAUCACCUUUAAUAAUGUGCCAACAUUUAUUAUAAAACUUGACCGGGAACCCAUCCGGUCCUGGCGCCUUAUUAUUUUUCAUUUGUGAAAUUGCCUCAAACACCUCUUUCUUCAUAAAGGGUGCGGUUAAUAUCUCAAUCUCGUUUGUCCUGAGGAAUAUCACCCACCCACUGCUCAUUCAUGGACAACGUAUUGUCCUCAGGAGGUCCAAAUAGUUGCUUAUAAUACUCAGAUAUGUACACCUUUAGGUUUUCAUGCCCAACAACUGUACCAUCAUCUUGUUCAAGUUGAUAUAUUAUUUUCUUUGUGUUUUCCAUUGGCAAUAAGAUGGAAAAAUUAUGUGUUGUCAUCCCCUUGAAUGACGUGAUGCACUUUCACUCUAACUGCCCACUUCAGUUCUUCUUCUGUGAGGAUCUGUUUCAGAUUUUGCUCUGCCUCCGCUCUUAAUGCCCUCUCAUUAUCUUCCAAGAGGGCGGAUUCGGCUUUUAAAUCAAGCUCAUUUAUAAAUUGAGAUGACAACCAGUGAUACAAAGCUCCCCAAUAAAAAAUUGCAAUUGGGUACUUGGAUAAUCGACCCAACGCCCCCAUAGAAAGGGAGAUGAAGCAGGAUGAAGUACCACCAGAAAGGAGAUGAAGUGUCCCUCGCUGACGAUCAAGAAGGAGGAAAAUCUGAUGCCCUCCAUAAGAGACCAACGCAGCGGCGGCGACCCAACACACAAAUACAAGCUUUGUGACUCCACACCGACUUUGGAUCAUGCAUCGACACAACAACGAACCAGAGCAAAAUAUCCCUUUCAAGGUUUAAGUCGCCGCUACACCAGCCUUGAUCCAUUCCCAAGGGACAGCAGGAACACAUCUCCUUCACACAUUAACAGAUAUGUGUCAGGGUUGGUUGUUCUAGGAUUUUAAAUUUCCAUCAAAAUGACCCUUGUGCAUACGAGCCCCAGGAAUACUGUUAGGUAGUGCACAAUUCCUUCAUACAAAUAUCCAAGCAAUUACAUAAUUUUGGAGUACAAGACCAUCAUGGCCUAUGGAGUACAACAAAAUUGUGGGUGGUCGGGAUGCUGCCGACCUUUUUAGUGAGAAAACAUGGCAGAAUUAUCGCGUGUAGUGAUGAGGACAUCGAUACCAUAGUUACACCCACGACCCCUGUUACUACAUAUAUUGGGCCAAUUACUAGAGCUCGUGCACGCCAAUUAAAUGCUCAGGUGCAUCCAUUUCUUGGGAAUGAUUCUAAUGUUCAUGAGAAUAUUAUGCUGCCUAAACUAGAUACAUUUAUGUUUAUUACUAAUGAAGGGACUAGGAUGGACAAGAGGGGUGAACACUGGAGCAGGAUCAAGCAUGAAGAUGAAGGCGUGCACAAAGGAAACUAGAACCUCGUUUCUAGUGGAGUUUUCAGCAUUUUGAAGCCACAUGAUGACAUGCAAGGACAUGGUCGAAAUAUACAAGAUGAUCUUCCAUGAAUUUUCUCCAAAGUUUAUUAUAGGUUCCGCGUCACCUUAUUUUGGGGUUAGGUCCAUGUAAUUUCGAAAUACAAUUUAGUAGGAUCGUUUUAGAGUUUGUAUUAUAAGGGAAACAACUUAUGAGGUGUUUUCACUCCCAUCUUGUUAAGGUUGGACGAAAUCCCCUCCUUUCCCCCUAUAAAUACAACACUUAAGGCAUUGUUUAAACUUGGGCUUUGUUUAGAUUAAAGUUUGCUGCAGCUGCAACCCAUUCUGCAACUAGACCAAGAUGUCACAUAACCCCACUUUUAUCAAUAAAUCUUUCUUCUUAUAUUCGUAAUAUUCAAAUUGUAAUUUCAGUUUCUUACUUGUUCUUCAUUUGCAUGCAGGGAACAGAUCCUCGUGAUCAGGUUGAUCAUGCUCCGACAUGAUCAAUAACCUCUCAGAGUUGGUUUAGCAAUUGCUAAGGCGAAACCUCUUUGCACUGUCGUAGUCGGAUCAUCAAAAUCUAUUACACCGAAAAGGAUAGUUACCAUCUCAUCAAAAGAUGGUCCACCUUCACCUCUAUCAGGUAGUUGGCAUGCAACGAUCGUCAUUAAUUAGCUAAAUUCCCGAUGGGAUGGAAAUUCGAUCGUGUGUAUCCUUAACAGAGGGGGAAGGUGGGCCGCACAGGAGGACGAGGAGGGGCUAAAAUUUUCCUCCUCCGCAAACGGUUAGCAUGGAAAACCCUAUUCGGCGCUCCACGCGCCGGUUUAAGGGCAAUUUUCCUAACCGGUGCGUGCACCGUGUUAGCAGGCCUGGCCCAUUUACCUGUUUUUUCUUCCUCGUGUGAAAGGUAAAAAAGGAAGGCGACGGGGAGUUCGAACUCAGAAUCUGUUGGUUUACGUACUAGCGCACUCACCACUAUGGCAAAUACACCGAUGUGAAAAGUCAUAUUUUUCCCUUUUUUAUUUUCUCGAGUUCGCAAGAAGCCCCGAUUUUGGGAUGCUUGUAGAACUUUCUAAACCGGUUUUAUGUGGUUCGUUGGGUAAUUUUCCAUCUGGUUCUUAUUCGUUUUUUCUCUCUAUUUUAACGUUUCUUUUUCAAAAAUGAUGAAUUUUUUAAAAUUUUGAUGAACUAUUUAUAAAAAACUAUGAACUUUUUUACAAAUUUGGUGAACUUUUUUUAAGAUCGUUGAACUUUUUUUAAGAUCAAGGAACUUUUUCAGACAUGAUGAACUUUUUCGGAAUUGAUGAGAUUUUUUUCAAAUUCGAAUGGACUUUUUUAAAAUUCAUGAUUUUUUUCAUUUUUUGGAAAUCGAUGAACUUUUUUCAUUUUUUAAAUUGUACCUUUUUCCUUUUUAAGUGCAUAAUUGAAAGGAGGGAGCAGAAAAAACCAAACGGAUUUUAGCGAACGAAUAGUGACGAAUAGAGAACGAGCGAAGGAUUAGUGGGUGAGGCCUAAUAGGGAUCCCUAGUGUGCGGCAACUAAGUUAUUGGGCGCUGAAGGCCGGCAUUUCGUAUUUGACUCUAAAAACGUUAGUUAAUGUGCAUUUUUGUUAACUGAUGCCCGUGUCGUUCAAACUGGGCCAACCCAUCUAGGCGCUUAUGAUGUUUUUGUUUUUUUGAAAAUUCUAUGAACUUAUUUGAAUAUCGAUGAACUUUUUUUCAAUUUCAAAGAAUAAUUUUCACAAUAAAUGAACUUUUUUAAAUAAGGAUAAUUUUUUUUGAAAUUUUAUGAACAUCUUUUUGAAAAUGGAUGGACUUUUUUAAGAUUUAUGAACUUUUUUUUAGUUCAAUGAACUUUUGUAAAGAAUACAUGAACUUUUUUUGAACUUUUAUGCACUUUUUUUCAAAUUUAUUGAACUUUCUAAAAAAUUACUAAACUUUUUCUAAAUUGGAUGAAAAUUUUUCAUUUUAAAUGAACUUUUUUUCAAAUCCUGAACUUUUUCCAUAAUUGAUGAACCUUUUUUAAAGAUAUGAACUUUUAUCUUCAAAUGUGUAAACCUUUUUUAUUUUAUAUUUUUUCGUAAUAGAAAAUUAAAAAGGAAGAAACUGGACAACUUUUUAAUGGACCGACCCAUGCUUGCAGCGCUGCACGCGCCGGAUCGGUAACGGCUGCCUGUAGCGCUGCAUAGGAGCUUCCGUGGAGGCGUCGUAUAGGAGCUUGAUACGUCUCAAACGUAUCUAUAAUUUUUUAUGGUUUCAUGCUGUUAUCUUAUCAACUUUGGAUGUUUUAUGUACCUUUUAUAUCUUUUUGGGACUAACUUAUUAAUUCAGUGCCAAGUGUCAGUUCCUGUUUUUUUUUGUGUUUUUGACUCUUUUCAGAUCUGAUUUUGGAACGGAAUCCAAACGGAAUAAAAUCUCCGAGAUAAAUUUUUCAGAACAAAAGAAGAUCGGGGGACUUGAGGGCUGAUGACCCACAAGUAUAGGGGAUCAAUCGUAGUCCUUUUGAUAAGUAAGAGUGUCGAAUCCAACGAGGAGGAGAAGGCUGUGAUAAACGGUUUUCUGCAAGGUAAUAACUGCAAGCACUGAAAGUAGCGGUAACAAGUGAUGGUGUAGUGAGGUGAAACAUAACAAGCGAAAAGUAACAAGUAACAAGUAGUAGCAACGGUGAAGCAAGUGGCCCAAUCCCUUUUGUAGCAAGGGACAAGUCUGAAGAAAGUCUUAUAAGUGGAAAGCGCUCCCGAGGACACACAAGAAUUUCUGUCAUGCUAGUUUCAUCAUGUUCAUAUGAUUCGUGUUCGUUACUUUGAUAGUUUGAUAUGUGGGUGGACCGGCGCUUGGGUACUGCCCUUACUUGGACAAGCAUCCCACUUAUGAUUAACCCCUCUCGCAAGCAUCCGCAACUACGAAAGAAGAAUUAAGACAACGUCUAACCAUAGCAUUAAACUAGUGGAUCCAAAUCAACCCCUUACGAAGCAACGCAUAGACUCGGGCUUAAGCUUCUGUCACUCCAACAACCCAUCAUCUACUUACUACUCCCCAAUGCCUUCCUCUAGGCCCAAAUAUGGUGAAGUGUUAUGUAGUUGACGUUCACAUAACACCACUAGAGGAAAAACAACAUACAUCAUAUCAAAAUACCGAACGAAUACCAAACUCACAUGACUAUUAUUAGCAUGACUUAUCCCAUGUCCUCAGGAACAAAAGUGACUACUCAUAAAGCAUAAUCAUAAUCAUGAUCAGAGGUGUAAUGAAUAGCAUCAAGGAUCUGAACAUAAACUCUUCCACCAAGUAAUCCAACUAGCAUCAACUACAAAUAGUAAUCAACACCACUAGCAACCUUACAAGUACCAAUCGGAGUCAUGAGACGGAGAUUGGUUACAAGAGAUGAACUAGGGAUUGGAGAGGAGAUGGUGAUGAUGAAGAUGCCUCCCCUCCGACGAGAGGAGUGUUGAUGAUGACGAAGGCGACAAUUUCCCCCUCCGGAAGGGAAGUUUCCCCGGCAGGAUCGUCCUGCCAGAGCUCUAGAUUGCAUCUGCUCAAGUUCCGCCUCGUGGCGGCGGCGAAACCACGAAAAAGCUCCCGAAUGAUUUUUUCUGAAAUAAAUCCUUCAUAUAGCAAAAGAGGGGGGCCAGUGGGCCGCCAGGGUCCCCACAAGCCCUGUUGCCGCGACCAGGGGGGUAGGCUGUGGCAACUAGGCUUGUGGGCCCCUAGUUGCUCCCCUCUGACACUUCUUUCGCCUAGUAAUUUUUAUAAAAUCCAAAAAAAAUCCACGUUGAUUUUCAUGACAUUUGGAGUUGCGCGGAAUAGAGCACUCAGACUUGCUCCUUUUCCAGUCCAGAAUUCGAGCUGCCGGUAUUCUCCCUCUUCAAAUAAACCUUGCAAAAUAAGAGAGAAAAGGCAUAAGUAAGGUUCCACAAAGUAUAAUAACAGUCCAAAAAGCGAUAAAUAUCAACAUGAAAGCAUGAUGCAAAAUGGACGUAUUAACUCCCCCAAGCUUAGACCUCGCUUGUCCUCAAGCGAAAACCAAGACCCAAAACAUGUCCACGUGUUUAGGGAUGAAGGUGUUGAUAAAACAAAAUACGGACAUGAGGGCAUCAUGACCAUACAUAGAACAGGAACACAUCAUAGAGAUUCUUAUGGGAAAGUAACAAUUGCUUCACAAAGCAAAGUAUGAAACAAAAACCUUAUCGAGAAGUGGCCAACAACCGUCCAAAGUCAUUGAAGCAAUUGCAAUUUAUCACAUUAUCAGAAAGAGUCCAAUAAGAGCUUGUAAGGCAAAUCCACAUACUCAAUCAUCUCUUUUGUUUUCCAUCAUUGUUACUACUCACGUGGUACUCAUGGUAUUGAAGUUUCAGUUGGACACAGAGAAAGAUAGGGGCUUAUAGUUUGCCUCCCAACCAUUUACCUCAAGGGUAAAGUCAACAAUAAUAAAGCAUAAGUACUUAGCUCCAAGUUGAUAUAUGAAUAUAGAUCUUUCCCAAGCAUAUGACGUUCACCAAGAAAAAGGCUAAAUAAGGAAUUGGUGAAGAUCACCAUGACUCUUACAAGGGCAAAAAGUAAAUGUACAAGAUAGGCCCUUCGCAGAGGGAAGCAGAGGUUGUCAUGCGCUUUUGAUGUUUGGAUGCGUGUCCUCUUAGUGCGGAGGAACGUCACUUUAUAUUGCCUCCUAUGAUAAAGAACUUUAUUAUGCAGUCUGUCGCUUUUAUGUCUUCCUCAUCACAGGUUCGUACAAAGCUUAUUUUCCACACACUAAUAGAGCAUACAUAUUAGAGAGCAAUUUUUAUUGCUUGCACCGAUGACAACUUACUUGAGGGAUCUUAUUCCAUCCAUAGGUAGGUAUGGUGGACACUCAUGGCAAAACUGGGUUGAAGGUUUAUGGAUGCACAAGUAGUAUCUCUACUUGGUGCGGGAUUUUUGGCUAAUAUGAGGUGGAAGCAAUCGUCACAUGCUAAGGGAUCUCUAAUCAUAUAACAUUGUUUGGAACUAAGCAAACACAAUUCAUUAUGUUGUCUUCCUUGUCCAACAUCUACUUCUAAGCAUGUAAUAGUUUGGCUAGUGCUCACAAUUAUAGAAAGUGCCUAAGAUGAUAUAUUUAUAUGUGAACCUCUCUGUCCUUAUUACUUCUUAUUAAUUGCAACAAUGAUUGAGGUCUAUGUUGGUCUAUCUCAACAAGUUUCAAUCAUCAUACUUGUUAUAAGUGAAGCUAUCACUUUCCAUAAUAUCAUCUCAUGAUCUCUCAUGCUAUCGUUCUUUUCAUACUUUUGAUCACGGCACAAAACAAAGCCCUUGACUAAGAUACUCUUUAUUAUAUAGCUCGCAAGCUCGAAUACAUCGGGGGAGAGACAAAAGUAAAAGACUCAAUCUAAAACAGUAAAGACUUAUUCCACUAAGAGAAGAAAUAAAAACUGAAAAGGAAAGGACUAAAACAAAGGUAAAAGCAAAAGAUAUAAAGGUGAUACGAUACCAGGGCAACUCCCCCAAGCUUGGCAAAAGCCAAGGGGAUUGCCCAUACCAAUGCUUAGUUGUCUUCCUUUGGUGGUGAUGGUGGUGGUGUUGUUGAAGUAGUCUUGAGCUUGUCUAAUUUCCACUUGAGCAAAAAGUUCUGCUCCCUCAGAUCGUCAUUUUCCUCCGCAAGCUUCAACACUCUAUGACAAAGUUCCUGCUUACUCUCGUGCAAGAAACGAGAAGGGAUAAACAAGGUCUUAGGCUUCUUCCUUUGGUCAGGGAGGCUUGACUUCUUGAACUCCACGUGAGUGCAUCCAGGUUGGGGUAAAGGAGCCUCCUCUUCAUCGGAACUCGUUUGUUCCUUCCCCUUGGGCUCAUAGUCCUCUUCCUCGUCAGUAGUCCAGCCAUAAGGCUCCAAGUCCCCAUUAAUCCUGGAGUUAGCAUGAUCAUCGGCCAUAUAGAUCUCUUCUUCUGAAUCUUGAGAAGACAUCUUGACCUAAAUCUGCGGCAGACAACAUGCUCGAAACAUCUUGACCUAAAACUGCACGAUACGGAGAUCAAAACCAUCUGGACCAGAAGGAGUGCUCCGCAAGAAAACAGAGUCCGGGAGGCACACGAGCUGCCGACAAGCCCUGUUGCCGCGGCCAGGGGGGAGGCCGCGGCAACCAAGCUUGUGGCCGCCUCCUGCGCUCUCCAGACUGCUUUUUAUUUUUCUAAUUUUCCAUAAAUUCCAAAACGGAGAAAAAUUCCUAUUGGAAAAGUUUCGGAGUCCAAUUACUUACUGAGACAUAUACCUCUUGGUUUUUAGGGUCUCAAACAGGCUGAUAAACAUCCCUUAUGUACUCCUCUGGAGUUAUGAUAUUGAUGAUAUUGGUCUCAACAUUUAUGGGAGUACCAGAGAUAUAAUGCUUGAUUCUUUGCCCAUUUACCACUCUAGGAAAAUUGCCUUCCGUAUUACUGAUUUUGAUGGCACCGGAAUGAUAUACUUCCUCGACAAUGUAGGGACCUUCCCAUUAAGAGAGAAGCUUGCCUGCGAAGAAUCUCAAACGAGAAUUGUAUAGUAGGACAUAGUGACCUACAUUGAACUCUCGUUUUUGUAUUCUUUUAUCGUGCCAUCUCUUAACCUUUUCCUUGAACAACUUGGCAUUCUCGUAUGCCUGGGCCCUCCAUUCAUCUAAUGAGCUGAUAUCAAACAAUCGCUUCUCACCGGCAAGUUUGAAAUCAAAGUUGAGCUCUUUGAUUGCCCAAUAAGCUUUGUGUUCCAGCUCAAGAGGUAAAUGAGAAGCCUUACCGUAAACCAUUUUAUACGGUGACAUGCCCAUGGGAUUCUUAUAAGCAGUCCUAUAAGCCCAUAGUGCAUCGUCAAGUUUGCUAGACCAAUUCUUUUGAGAUCUAUUCACGGUCUUUUGUAAGAUCAAUUUGAUCUCCCUAUUACUCAACUCCACUUGACCACUAGACUGAGGAUGAUAAGGAGAUGCAACUCUAUGGUUGACAUCGUACUUAGCGAGCAUCUUGCGGAAAACACCAUGAAUGAAGUGUGAACCGCCAUCAGUCAUCAGAUAUCUAGGGACUCCAAAUCUUGGGAAAAUGUCUUCUUUAAGCAUCUUAAUAGAGGUGUGGUGAUCAACAUUUUUAGUGGGGAUAGCUUCUACCCACUUAGUGACGUAGUCCACAGCAAGUAAGAUGUGAGUGUAUCCAUUGGAGCUCGGGAAGGGUCCCAUAUAAUCAAAGCCCUAGACAUCAAAUGGUUCAAUGACCAGUGAAUAGUUCAUAGGCAUUUUCUGACGCUUACUGAUGUUCCCUAUUCUUUGGCAUUCGUCACAAGACAGUACAAACUUACGGGCAUCCUUGAAGAGUGUGGGCCAAUAGAAAUCUGAUUGCAAUACCUUAUGAGUUGUUCUGUCUCCAGCAUGGUGUCCUCUGUAAGCCUCGGAAUGACACUUCUUCAGGAUCUGUCCCUGUUCAUGUUCAGGCACACAAUGUCUAAUAACACCAUCUACUCCUUCCUUAUAGAGGUGAGGAUCAUCCCAAAAGUAGUGUCUCAAAUCAAAGAAGAAUUUCUUCUUUUGCUGGUAGGUGAAACUGGGUGGUAUGUAUUGGCUACGAUAUAGUUUGCGUAAUCAGCAUACCAUGGUGCACUAUGUGAAGUGCGGAUGACAUUCAAUUGCUCAUCAGGAAAGCUGUCAUCAAUAGGUCGUGGUGUUGGGGAACGUCGCAAGGGAAACAAAAAAUUUCCUACGCGCACGAAGACCUAUCAUGGUGAUGUCCAUCUACGAGAGGGGAUGAGUGAUCUACGUACCCUAGUAGAUCGUACAGCAGAAGCGUUUAGAGAACGCGGUUGAUGUAGUGGAACGUCCUCACGUCCCUCGAUCCGCCCCGCGAACAAUCCCGCGAUCAGUCCCACGAUCUAGUACCGAACGGACGGCACCUCCGCGUUCAGCACACGUACAGCUCGACGAUGAUCUCGGCCUUCUUGAUCCAGCAAGAGAGACGGAGAGGUAGAAGAGUUCUCCGGCAGCGUGACGGCGCUCCGGAGGUUGGUGAUGAUCUUGUCUCAGCAGGGCUCUGCCCGAGCUCCGCAGAAACACGAUCUAGAGGAAAAACUAUGGAGGUAUGUGGUCGGGCAGCCGUGAGAAAGUCGUCUCAAAUCAGCCCUAAUACCUCAGUAUAUAUAGGAGGGAGGGGGAGGGAAGAGGCAGCCUCAAACCCUCAAGGUUUGGCCGAAAUUGGAGGUGGAGGAGUCCUACUCCAAUCCUACUUGGAGUAGGAUUCCACCUUCCCACUUGAAAACUCUUUCCACCUUGUGUUUUUUCCUUCUCAAACCUUAUGGGCCUUAGUGGGAACUUAUUCCAGCCCACUAGGGGCUGGUUUAUCUCUUCCCAUAGCCCAUGAUACCCCUUGGGGCGUGACACCCCUCCCGAUGGUCCCCGGCACCCCUCCCGGCACUCCCGGUACACUACCGAUGAGCCCGAAACUUUUCCGGUGACCAAAACAGGACUUCCUAUAUAUCAAUCUUUACCUCCGGACCAUUCCGGAGCUCCUCGUGACGUCCUGCAUCUCAUCCGGGACUCCGAACAACAUUCGGUAACCAACCAUAUAACUCAAAUACGCAUAAAACAACGUCGAACCUUAAGUGUGCAGACCCUGCGGGUUCGAGAACUAUGUAGACAUGACCCGAGAGACUCCUCGGUCAAUAUCCAAUAGCGGGACCUAGAUGCCCAUAUUGGAUCCUACAUAUUCUACGAAGAUCUUAUCGUUUGAACCUCAGUGCCAAGGAUUCAUAUAAUCCCGUAUGUCAUUCCCUUUGUCCUUCGGUAUGUUACUUGCCCGAGAUUCGAUCGUCAGUAUCCGCAUACCUAUUUCAAUCUCGUUUACCGGCAAGUCUCUUUACUCGUUCCGUAAUACAAGAUCCCGCAACUUACAUUAAGUUACAUUGCUUGCAAGGCUUGUGUGUGAUGUUGUAUUACCGAGUGGGCCCCGAGAUACCUCUCCGUCACACGGAGUGACAAAUCCCAGUCUCGAUCUAUACUAACUCAACGAACACCUUCGGAGAUACCUGUAGAGCAUCUUUAUAGUCACCCAGUUACGUUGCAACGUUUGAUACACACAAAGCAUUCCUCCGGUGUCCGUGAGUUAUAUGAUCUCAUGGUCAUAGGAACAAAUACUUGACACGCAGAAAACAGUAGCAACAAAAUGACACGAUCAACAUGCUACGUCUAUUAGUUUGGGUCUAGUCCAUCACAUGAUUCUCCUAAUGAUGUGAUCCCGUUAUCAACUGACAACACUUGCCUAUGGCCAGGAAACCUUGACCAUCUUUGAUCAACGAGCUAGUCAACUAGAGGCUUAAUAGGGACAGUGUUUUGUCUAUGUAUCCACACAAGUAUUGUGUUUCCAAUCAAUACAAUUAUAGCAUGGAUAAUAAAAGAUUAUCAUGAACUAAGAAAUAUAAUAAUAACUAAUUUAUUAUUGCCUCUAGGGCAUAUUUCCAACACGUGGGUCAUCAAGGACAUUCUCUAGCCUAGACAAGUUAUCUGCUACAGGGUUAUCAACACCCUUUCGGUCAACAACAUGCAAAUCAAAUUCCUGUAGCAGAAGAACCCAUCUGAUUAGCCUAGGCUUAGCGUCCUUCUUCUCCAUGAGGUACUUAAUAGCAGCAUGAUCAGAGUGAAUAAUGACUUUGGAGUCAACUAUAUAAGAUCUGAACUUUUCACAUGCAAAUACGACUGCUAAAAACUCCUUCUCCGUAGUGGCAUAGUUUCUUUGGGCACUGUCUAGAGUUUUACUAGUGUAGUGAAUGACAUUCAACUUCUUGUCAACUAUUUGUCCUAGAACAGCACCAACAACAUAAUCACUAGCAUCGCACAUGAUUUCAAAGGGCAAGUUCCAUUCUGGUGGUUGAACAAUAGGUGCGGUUAUCAAGGCCUUCUUAAGUAUUUCGAAAGCUUCCUCACAAUCCUCAUCAAAAACAAAAGGAACAUCCUUCUGCAAGAGGUUGGUAAGAGGCCUAGAAAUCUUAGAAAAGUCUUUAAUGAACCUUCUAUAGAAACCAGCAUGACCUAGGAAACUCCGUAUACCUCUGAUAUCUGUGGGGCAAGGCAUUUUCUCAAUUGCAUCAACCUUAGCCUUAUCAACUUCAAUGCCUCUCUCAGAGAUUUUGUGUCCUAAGAUGAUGCCUUCAUUAACCAUGAAGUGGCACUUCUCCCAGUUCAAGACGAGGUUGGUAUCUUUGCAUCUCUGUAAGACUCGAUCAAGGUUGCUGAGGCAAUCGUCAAAGGAAGAACCGUAGACGGAGAAAUCAUCCAUGAAAACCUCAACAAUAUUUUCACAAAAGUCGGAGAAUAUAGCCAUCAUACAUCUUUGAAAGGUGGCUGGUGCAUUGCACAAGCCAAAAGGCAUGCGUCUACAAGCGAAUGUACCAAAGGGGCAUGUGAAGGUGGUUUUCUCUUGAUCAGAUUGUGCAACAGGUAUUUGCGAGAAACCUGAAUAACCGUCUAGAAAGGAGAAGUGUGUGUGUUUAGAUAGCCUUUCUAGCAUCAGGUCAAUAAACGGCAAAGGAUAAUGGUCUUUCCUAGUUGCCGUGUUCAGUUUCCGGAAGUCUAUCACCAUCCUAUAGCCAGUAAUAAUCCUGUGCGGGAUUAGUUCAUCCUUAUCAUUAGGAACGACAGUGAUACCUCCCUUCUUAGGUACGCAAUGUACUGGACUUACCCAAUCACUAUGAGCAACAGGAUAAAUGAUUCCUGCUUCAAGAAGCUUUAAUAUUUAUUUUCUCACGACCUCUUUCAUCCUAGGAUUUAAUCUCCUUUGAUGAUCAGCAACUGGCUUAGAAUCAGGAUCGGUUUUAAUCUUGUGCUGACAUAGAGUGGGACUAAUACCCUUAAGAUCAUCAAGAGUAUAUCCAAUAGCCUCACGGUGCUUCCUCAAAGUUUUAAUAACUUCUUCUCUUCGUGAUUCGAGAGGUGAGCACUAAUAAUAACAGGAUAUAUCUCCUUCUCAUCAAGAUAAGCAUACUUAAGAGUAUAUGGUAACUGUUUUAGCUCGAACACAGGAUCACCCUUUGGUGGGGGAGGAUCCUCAAGCAGUUCAACAGGCAGAUUAUUCUUGAGAAUAGGAUAUUGUUCUAAAACAAUUUUAUCUAUCUCAUCUCUUUCCUCCAUAUGCAUAUCAUUUUCAUGCUCAAGCAGAUAUUGCUCUAAAGGAUCCGUAGGAGGUACGGCAAUAGAGGCAAGAGCAAUGAUUUCAUCCCUACCAGACGACUCUUUUUCAUGGGGUUGUCUUCCAAACUUGGAGAAGUUAAAUUCAUGAGACACACCUUCGAAAGUAACAGUGACAGUCUGUUUAAUGCAAUCAAUGUGAGCAUUGACAGUGUUGAGAAAGGGUCUACCAAAUAUGAUGGGACAAAAGCUAUCUUGUGCAGUACCAAGGACGAGGAAAUCAGUAGGAUACUUUGUCUUACCACACAGGACUUCUAUGUCUCUCACAAUUCCUAGAGGGCAAAUAGUGUCUCUAUCAGCUAGCAUAAUAGUGACAUCAAUCGGUUCUAACUCAGCAGGUGCAAUCUCAUCUUUGAUUUUGUUGGGGAACGUCGCAAGGGAAACAAAAAUUUUCCUACGCGCACGAAGACCUAUCAUGGUGAUGUCCAUCUACGAGAGGGGAUGAGUGAUCUACGUACCCUUGUAGACCGUACAAAAGAAGCGUUAGAGAACGCGGUUGAUGUAGUGGAACGUCCUCACGUCCCUCGAUCCGCCCCGCGAACAAUCCCGCGAUCAGUCCCACGAUCUAGUACCGAACGGACGGCACCUCCACGUUCAGCACACGUACAGCUUGACGAUGAUCUCGGCCUUCUUGAUCCAGCAAGAGAGACGGAGAGGUAGAAGAGUUCUCCGGCAGCGUGACGGCGCUCCGGAGGUUGGUGAUGACCUUGUCUCAGCAGGGCUCCGCCCGAGCUCCGCAGAAACGCGAUCUAGAGGAAAAACCGUGGAGGUAUGUGGUCGGGCUGCCGUGGAAAAGUCGUCUCAAAUCAGCCCUAAAACCUCCGUAUAUAUAGGUGGGAGGGAGGGGGCCUUGCCUUGGGGUCCAAGGACCCUCAAGGGGGUCGGCCGAGCCAAGGGGGAGGACUCUCCCCCCCAAAACCGAGUUGGACUAGGUUUGGUGGGAGGGAGUCCCCCUCCCUUCCCACCUCCUCCUUUUUUUUCCUUUGAUUUCUUAUCCUUGGCGCAUAGGGCCCUUUUGGGCUGCCCCACCAGCCCACUAAGGGCUGGUGCUCCACCCUUAUGGCCUAUGGGCUUCCCCGGGGUGGGUUGCCCCCCCCCGGUGAACUCCCGGAACCCAUUCGUCAUUCCCGGUACAUUCCCGGUAACUCCGAAAACCUUCCGGUAAUCAAAUGAGGUCAUCCUAUAUAUCAAUCUUCGUUUCCGGACCAUUCCGGAAACCCUCGUGACGUCCGUGAUCUCAUCCGGGACUUCGAACAACAUUCGGCAACCAACCAUAUAACUCAAAUACGCAUAAAACAACGUCGAACCUUAAGUGUGCAGACCUUGCGGGUUCGAGAACUAUGUAGACAUGACCCGAGAGACUACUCGGUCAAUAUGCAAUAGCGGGACCUGGAUGCCCAUAUUGGAUCCUACAUAUUCUACGAAGAUCUUAUCGUUUGAACCUCAGUGCCAAGGAUUCGUAUAAUCCCGUAUGUCAUUCCCUUUGUCCUUCGGUAUGUUACUUGCCCGAGAUUCGAUCGUCAGUAUCCGCAUACCUAUUUCAAUCUCGUUUACCGGCAAGUCUCUUUACUCGUUCCGUAAUACAAGAUCCCGCAACUUACACUAAGUUACAUUGCUUGCAAGGCUUGUGUGUGAUGUUGUAUUACCGAGUGGGCCCCGAGAUACCUCUCCGUCACACGGAGUGACAAAUCCCAGUCUUGAUCCAUACUAACUCAACUAACACCUUCGGAGAUACCUGUAGAGCAUCUUUAUAGUCACCCAGUUACGUUGCGACGUUUGAUACACACAAAGCAUUCCUCCGGUGUCAGUGAGUUAUAUGAUCUCAUGGUCAUAGGAAUAAAUACUUGACACGCAGAAAACAGUAGCAACAAAAUGACACGAUCAACAUGCUACAUCUAUUAGUUUGGGUCUAAUCCAUCACGUGAUUCUCCCAAUGACGUGAUCCAGUUAUCAAGCAACAACACCUUGUUCAUAAUCAGAAGACACUGACUAUCAUUGACUAACUGGCUAGCCAACUAGAGGCAUGCUAGGGACGGUGUUUUGUCUAUGUAUCCACACAUGUAAAUGAGUCUUCAUUCAAUACAAUUAUAGCAUGGAUAAUAAACUAUUAUCUUGAUACAGGAAUUAUAAUAAUAACUACAUUUAUUAUUGCCUCUAGGGCAUAAUUCCAACAGUCUCCCACUUGCACUAGAGUCAAUAAUCCAGCCCUCACAUCACCAUGUGAAUUACAUUGUAAUAAAUCUAACACCCAUACAGUUCUGGUGUCGAUCAUGUUUUGGCCGUGGAAGAGGUUUAGUCAGCGGGUCUGCUACAGUCAGAUCCGUGUGCACUUUGCAUAUAUUCACGUCCUCUUCCUCGACGUAGUCGCGGAUGAGGUUGAAGCGUCGUUUGAUGUGUCUAGUCUUCUUGUGAAAACGCGGUUCCUUUGCUAAGGCAAUGGCACCCGUGUUGUCACAGAACAAGGUUAUUGGAUCCAGUGCACUUGGCACCACUCCAAGAUCCGUCAUGAACUGCUUCAUCCAGACACCCUCCUUAGUUGCCUCCGAGGCAGCCAUGUACUCCGCUUCACAUGUAGAAUCUGCUACGACGCUUUGCUUGGAACUGCACCAGCUUACUGCACCCCCAUUAAGAAUAAAUACGUAUCCGGUUUGCGACUUAGAGUCGUCCGGAUCUGUGUUAAAGCUUGCAUCGAUGUAACCUUUUACGGCGAGCUCUUCGUCACCUCCAUACACGAGAAACAUCUCCUUAGUCCUUUUCAGGUACUUCAGGAUAUUCUUGACCGUUGUCCAGUGAUCCACUCCUGGAUUACUCUGGAACCUACCUGCCAUACUUAUGGCCAGGCUAACAUCCGGUCUAGUGCACAGCAUCGCAUACAUGAUAGAACCUAUGGCUGAAGCAUAGGGGACGGAGCGCAUAUGCUCUCUAUCUUCAUCAGUUGCUGGGCACUGAGUCUUACUCAAUCUCGUACCUUGUAAAACUGGCAAGAACCCUUUCUUGGAUUGUUCCAUUUUGAACCUCUUCAAAACUUUAUCAAGGUAUGUGCUUUGUGAAAGUCCUAUCAGGCGUUUUGAUCUAUCCCUAUAGAUCUUAAUGCCUAGAUUGUAAGCAGCUUCUCCUAGGUCCUUCAUAGAGAAACUUUUAUUCAAGUAACCUUUUAUGCUCUCCAAAAGCUCUACGUUGUUUCCAAUCAGUAAUAUGUCAUCCACAUAUAAUAUUAGAAACGCCACAGAGCUCCCACUCACUUUCUUGUAAAUACAAGAUUCUCCAACCACUUGUAUAAACCCAAAUGCUUUGAUCACCUCAUCAAAGCGUUUGUUCCAACUCCGAGAUGCUUGCACCAGUCCAUAAAUGGAUCGCUGGAGCUUGCACACCUUGUCAGCAUUUUUAGGAUCGACAAAACCUUCGGGUUGCAUCAUAUACAACUCUUCCUUAAGGAAACCGUUAAGGAACACCGUUUUGACAUCCAUCUGCCAGAUUUCAUAAUCGAAAAAUGCAGCUAUUGCUAACAUGAUUCUGACGGACUUAAGCAUCGCUACGGGUGAGAAAGUCUCAUCGUAGUCAACUCCUGGAACUUGUGAAAAACCCUUUGCCACAAGUCGAGCUUUAUAAACGGUCACAUUACCGUCAGCGUCCGUCUUCUUCUUAAAGAUCCAUUUGUUCUAAAUAGCCUUGCGGCCCUCAGGUAGUAUCUCCAAAGUCCACACUUUGUUCUCAUAAAUGGAUCCUAUCUCGGAUUUCAUGGCUUCUAGCCAUUUGUUGGAAUCUGGGCCCACCAUUGCUUCUUCAUAAUUUGCAGGUUCAUUGUUGUCUAACAACAUGAUUGAUAAGACGGGAUUACCGUACCACUCUGGAGCAGCGCGUGAUCUCGUCGACCUGCGUGGUUCAACAGAAACUUGAACUGGAGUUUCAUGAUCAUCAUCAUUAACUUCCUCCUCAACCGGCGUCGCAACGACAGAGGUUUCCCCUUGCCCUGCGCCACUAUCCAGAGGGAUGAGAGGUUCGACAACCUCGUCAAGUUCUAUCUUCCUCCCACUCAAUUCUCUCGAGAGAAACUCCUUCUCGAGAAAAGCUCCGUUUUUAGCAACAAACACUUUGCCCUCGGAUUUGAGAUAGAAGGUGUACCCAACUGUCUCUUUUGGGUAACCUAUGAAGACGCACUUUUCCGCUUUGGGUUCCAGCUUUUCAGGCUGAAGCUUUUUGACAUAAGCAUCACAUCCCCAAACUUUAAGAAACGACAACUUUGGCCUUUUGCCGUACCACAGUUCGUAUGGUGUCGUCUCAACGGAUUUUGAUGGUGCCCUAUUUAAAGUGAAUGCAGCUGUUUCUAAUGCAUAACCCCAAAAUGAUAACGGCAAAUCAGUAAGAGACAUCAUAGAUCGCACCAUCUCUAACAAAGUACGAUUACGACGUUCGGACACACCAUUACGCUGUGGUGUUCCAGGCGGUGUUAACUGCGAAACAAUUCCACAUUGUCUUAAGUGAGCACCAAACUCGAAACUCAGAUAUUCACCCCCACGAUCAGACCGUAGGAACUUGAUCUUCUUGUUACGAUGAUUUUCCACUGCAUUCUGAAAUUGCUUGAACCUUUCAAAUGUUUCAGACUUGUGCUUCAUCAAGUAGACAUAACCAUAUCUACUUAAAUCGUCAGUGAAGGUGAGAAAAUAACGAUAUCCGCCGCGUGCCUCUACGCUCAUUGGACCACACACAUCGGUAUGUAUGAUUUCCAACAAGUCACUUGCACGCUCCAUUGUUCCGGAGAACGGAGUCUUAGUCAUCUUGCCCAUGAGGCAUGGUUCGCACGUGUCAAGUGAAUCAAAGUCAAGUGACUCCAAAAGUCCAUCAGCAUGGAGUUUCUUCAUGCGCUUUACACCAAUAUGACCUAAACGGCAGUGCCACAAAAAUAUGGCGCUAUCAUUGUUUACUCUAACUCUUUUGGUCUCAAUGUUAUGUAUAUGCGUAUCGCUAUCAAGAUUCAAUAUGAACAAUCCUCUCACAUUCGGUGCAUGACCAUAAAAGAUGUUACUCAUAGAAAUAGAACAACCAUUAUUCUCAGACUUAAAAGAGUAACCGUCUCGCAAUAAACAAGAUCCAGAUAUAAUGUUCAUGCUCAACGCAGGCACUAAAUAACAAUGAUUUAAGUUCAUCACUAAUCCCGAUGGUAGCUGAAGUGACACUGUGCCGACGGCGAUUGCAUCAACCUUGGAACCAUUUCCUACGCGCAUCGUCACUUCAUCUUUCGCCAGCCUUCGUCUAUUCCGCAGUUCUUGUUUCGAGUUGCAAAUGUGAGCAACAGAACCGGUAUCGAAUACCCUGGCACUACUACGAGAGCCGGUUAAGUACACAUCAAUAACAUGUAUAUCAAAUAUACCUGAUUUUUCUUUGCCCGCCUUCUUAUCUGCCAGAUACUUGGGGCAAUUGCGCUUCCAGUGACCCAUACCCUUGCAAUAGAAGCACUCUGUUUCAGGCUUAGGUCCAGCCUUGGGUUUCUUCGGCGGAUUGGCAACAGGCUUGCCGAUCUUCUUCGAAUUGCCCUUCUUGCCUUUGCCGUUUCUCUUGAAACUAGUGGUCUUGCUCACCAUCAACACUUGAUGCUCUUUACGGAGUUCAGACUCUGCGACUUUCAGCAUCGCAAACAACUCGCCGGGAGACUUGUUCAUCCCUUGCAUGUUGUAGUUCAACACAAAGCCUUUAUAGCUUGGUGGCAGUGAUUGAAGGAUUCUGUCAGUGAUAGCUUCUUGCGGGAGUUCAAUCCCCAGUUCAGCUAGACGGUUUCAGUACCCAGACAUUUUGAGCACAUGUUCACUGACAGACGAGUUUUCCUCCAUCUUGCAAGCAUAGAAUUUAUCGGAGGUCUCAUACCUCUCGAUCCGGGCGUUCUUCUGAAAGAUAAACUCCAACUCCUGGAACAUCUCAAAUGCUCCAUGGCGCUCAAAGCGACGUUGAAGUCCCGGUUCUAAGCCAUACAAGACUGCACAUUGAACUAUUGAGUAGUCCUCCUUACGUGCUAACCAAGCGUUCUUAACAUCCUGAUCAGCCGUAGCGGGUGGUUCAUCUCCUAGCGCAGCAUUAAGGACAUAAUCCUUCUUCCCAGCUUGUAAGAUUAGCUUAAGAUUACGAGCCCAGUCUACAAAGUUGCUUCCAUCAUCUUUCAACUUAGCUUUCUCUAGGAACGUAUUAAAAUUCAGGAUGACAGUCGCGUGAGCCAUGAUCUACAACACAAAUAUAUUCAAAGUGGACUUAGACUAUGUUCAAGAUAAUUAGAGUUCAACUUAAUCAAAUUAUAUGCUAAACUCCCACUCAAAAAGUACAUCUCUCUAGUCAUUUGAGUGGUUCAUGAUCCACUUACACUAUCCCAAGUCCGAUCAUCACGUGAGUUGAGUAUAGUUUCAGUGGUAAGCAUCCCUAUGCUAAUCAUAUCAACUAUAUGAUUCAUGAUCGACCUUUCGGUCUCAUCUGUUCCGAGGCCAUGUCUGCACAUGCUAGGCUCGUCAAGCUUAAUCCGAGUGUUCCGCGUGCGCAACUGUUUUGCACCCGUUGUAUGUGAACGUUGAGUCUAUCACACCCGAUCAUCACGUGGUGUCUCGAAACGACGAACUGUAGCAACGGUGCACAGUCGGGGAGAACACAAUUUCGUCUUGAAAUUUUAGUGAGAGAUCACCUCAUAAUGCUACCGUCGUUCUAAGCAAAAUAAGGUGCAUAAAAGGAUUACCAUCACAUGCAAUUCAUAAGUGACAUGAUAUGACCAUCAUCACGUGCUUCUUGAUCUCCAUCACCAAAGCACCGGCACGAUCUUCUUGUCACCGGCGCCACACCAUGAUCAUCCAUCAACGUGUUGCCAUCGGGGUUGUCGUGCUACUUAUGCUAUUACUACUAAAGCUACAUCCUAGCAAAAUAGUAAACGCAUCUGCAAGCACAAACGUUACUAUAAAGACAACCCUAUGGCUCCUGCCGGUUGCCGUACCAUCGACGUGCAAGUCGAUAUUUCUAUUACAACAUGAUCAUCUCAUACAUCCAAUAUAUCACAUCACAUCGUUGGCCAUAUCACAUCACAAUCAUACCCUGCAAAAACAAGUUAGACGUCCUCUAAUUUUGUUGUUGCAUGUUUUACGUGGUGACCAAGGGUAUCUAGUAGGAUCGCAUCUUACUUACGCAAACACCACAACGGAGAUAUAUGAGUUGCUAUUUAACCUCAUCCAAGGACCUCCUCGGUCAAAUCCGAUUCAACUAAAGUUGAAGAAACCGUCACUUGCCAGUCAUCUUUGAGCAAAGGGGGUUGCUCGUAAUGAUGAAACCAGUCUCUCAUAAGCGUACGAGUAAUGUCGGUCCAAGCUGCUUCAAUCCAACAAUACCGCAGAAUCAAGAAAAGACUAAGGAGGGCAGCAAAACGCACAUCACCGCCCACAAAACCUUUUGUGUUCUACUCGAGAAGACAUCUACGCAUGAACCUAGCUCAUGAUGCCACUGUUGGGGAACGUCGCAAGGGAAACAAAAAUUUUCCUACGCGCACGAAGACCUAUCAUGGUGAUGUCCAUCUACGAGAGGGGAUGAGUGAUCUACGUACCCUUGUAGAUCAUACAGCAGAAGCGUUUAGAGAACGCGGUUGAUGUAGUGGAACGUCCUCACGUCCCUCGAUCCGCCCCGCGAACAAUCCCGCGAUCAGUCCCACGAUCUAGUACCGAACGGACGGCACCUCCGCGUUCAGCACACGUACAGCUCGACGAUGAUCUCGGCCUUCUUGAUCCAGCAAGAGAGAUGGAGAGGUAGAAGAGUUCUCCGGCAGCGUGACGGCGCUCCGGAGGUUGGUGAUGAUCUUGUCUCAGCAGGGCUCCGCCCGAGCUCCGCAGAAACACGAUCUAGAGGAAAAACUAUGGAGGUAUGUGGUCGGGCAGCCGUGAGAAAGUCGUCUCAAAUCAGCCCUAAUACCUCAGUAUAUAUAGGAGGGAGGGGGAGGGAAGAGGCAGCCUCAAACCCUCAAGGUUUGGCCGAAAUUGGAGGUGGAGGAGUCCUACUCCAAUCCUACUUGGAGUAGGAUUCCACCUUCCCACUUGGAAACUCUUUCCACCUUGUGUUUUUUCCUUCUCAAACCUUAUGGGCCUUAGUGGGAACUUAUUCCAGCCCACUAGGGGCUGGUUUAUCUCUUCCCAUAACCCAUGAUACCCCUUGGGGCGUGACACCCCUCCCGAUGGUCCCCGGCACCCCUCCCGGCACUCCCGGUACACUACCGAUGAGCCCGAAACUUUUCCGGUGACCAAAACAGGACUUCCUAUAUAUCAAUCUUUACCUCCGGACCAUUCCGGAGCUCCUCGUGACGUCCUGGAUCUCAUCCGGGACUCCGAACAACAUUCGGUAACCAACCAUAUAACUCAAAUACGCAUAAAACAACGUCGAACCUUAAGUGUGCAGACCCUGCGGGUUCGAGAACUAUGUAGACAUGACCCGAGAGACUCCUCGGUCAAUAUCCAAUAGCGGGACCUGGAUGCCCAUAUUGGAUCCUACAUAUUCUACGAAGAUCUUUAUCGUUUGAACCUCAGUGCCAAGGAUUCGUAUAAUCCCGUAUGUCAUUCCCUUUGUCCUUCGGUAUGUUACUUACCCGAGAUUCGAUCGUCAGUAUCCGCAUACCUAUUUCAAUCUCGUUUACCGGCAAGUCUCUUUACUCGUUCCGUAAUACAAGAUCCCGUAACUUACACUAAGUUACAUUGCUUGCAAGGCUUGUGUGUGAUGUUGUAUUACCGAGUGGGCCCCGAGAUACCUCUCCGUCACACGGAGUGACAAAUCCCAGUCUUGAUCCAUACUAACUCAACUAACACCUUCUGAGAUACCUGUAGAGCAUCUUUAUAGUCACCCAGUUACGUUGCGACGUUUGAUACACACAAAGCAUUCCUCCGGUGUCAGUGAGUUAUAUGAUCUCAUGGUCAUAGGAAUAAAUACUUGACACGCAGAAAACAGUAGCAACAAAAUGACACGAUCAACAUGCUACGUCUAUUAGUUUGGGUCUAAUCCAUCACGUGAUUCUCCCAAUGACGUGAUCCAGUUAUCAAGCAACAACACCUUGUUCAUAAUCAGAAGACACUGACUAUCAUUGACUAACUGGCUAGCCAACUAGAGGCAUGCUAGGGACGGUGUUUGGUCUAUGUAUCCACACAUGUAAAUGAGUCUUCAUUCAAUACAAUUAUAGCAUGGAUAAUAAACUAUUAUCUUGAUACAUGAAUUAUAAUAAUAACUACAUUUAUUAUUGCCUCUAGGGCAUAAUUCCAACAGAUUUCAUCAUAUAGGGAACGGUGUAUUGCACUAACACUAGCACCCAUAUCACAUAAACCGUGGUAACAGUGAUCUGCUAUCUUGACAGAAACAACGGGCAGGCCAACUACAUGUCCGUAGUUGUCUUUCGCGUGAGGUUUAGCAAUUCUAGUGGAGUCCUCACAGAAUUUGAUAACAUGCCCGUCUAUGUCUUCGGCUAAGAGAUCUUUGAUAAUAGCAACACUAGGUUAAAGUCUAAUUUCCUCACGGGGUGCAAGUGGUCUAAUGUAACCCCUACGUAUCACAGUUGGAGCUUUAGAAUAAUCCUUUAUCCUAGCAGGGUAAGGUGGUUUCUCAGCGUAGGCACAAGGAACAACAAGAUCACUAAAAGCAAUGACUUUCUCCUCAACUAGAUUGGUUUUGGCUAUGUUGCUUUCUACAGGAGGAUGAUAUUUAAACCACUUCUCUUUGGGAAGAUUAACAUGAGCACCAAAAGAUUCACAUAGAGAAGCUAUUAUCUCAGAGUCAAGUCCAUACUUAGCGCUAAAAUCUCUAGAAGUGUUUGUCUCAACAAAAGAUUUAACGCAAUCAAACUGGAAAUUCAUACUUGGCUCCUUACCUUCUUCCAGCUCCCAAUCUUCAGAGUUACGUUUGAUUAUUUCCAAUAAAUUCCACUUGUGGUCAAUAUCCUUCUUCAUAAAAGAACCAGUACAAGAAGUGUCAAGCAUGGUACGAUCUUCAUGAGAAAGCCGAGCAUAAAAGUUUUGAGUGAUAAUUUCUCUCGAGAGCUCAUGAUUGGGGUAUGAAUAUAGCAUUGAUUUAAGCCUCCCCCAAGCUUGAGCUAUGCUUUCCCUGUCACGAGGCCAAAAGUUAUAAAUAUAAUUCCGAUCACGAUGUACUAAAUGCAUAGGAUAGAACUUUUGAUGAAAUUCCAAUUUCAACCGAUUGUAGUCCCAUGAUCCAGUAUCAUCACAUAGCCUAUACCAUGUCAACGCCUUAUCCUUCAAAGAUAAAGGAAAGACUUUCUUAUUUACCUCAUCCUCGGGCAAACCUGCAAGCUUAAAUAAACCACAAACUUCAUCUACAUAGAUUAGAUGCAAGUCUGGAUGUGAAGAUCCAUCUCCUGUAAAAGGAUUAGCCAGCAGUUUCUCAAGCAUACCCGAAGGGAUUUCAUAAGAGAUAUUUUCAGUAGGUACCUCAGGUUGAGGAACAACUCCUCGUGCUUCCGUUCGUGGUGAAGAUACCCCGAACAAACUCCUCAAAGGAACAGUUUCCAUAGUGACAAGUGACAAUGAAUUUCAGCACAAUAUAUAAAUGUUUCCUUACCAAAUUCCACUUACCAAAGGCGCUUCCUCCCCGGCAACGGCGCAUGAAAAGAGUCUUGAUGACCCACAAGUAUAGGGGAUCAAUCGUAGUCCUUUCGAUAAGUAAGAGCGUUGAACUCAACGAGGAGGAGAAGGCUCUGAUAAAAGGUUUUCAGCAAGGUAAUAACUGCAAGCACUGAAAGUAGCGGUAACAGGUGAUGGUGUAGUGAAGUGAAACGUAGCAAGCGAAAAGUAACAAGUAACAAGUAGUAGCAACGGUGCAGCAAGUGGCCCAAUCCCUUUUGUAGCAAGGGACAAGCCUGAACAAAGUCUUAUAAGAGGAAAAGCGCUCCCGAGGACACACGGGAAUUUCUGUCAUGCUAGUUUCAUCAUGUUCAUAUGAUUCACGUUCGUUACUUUGAUAGUUUGAUAUGUGGGUGGACCGGCGCUUGGGUACUGCCCUUACUUGGACAAGCAUCCCACUUAUGAUUAACCCCUCUCGCAAGCAUCCGCAAAUACAAAAGAAGAAUUAAGACAACGUCUAACCAUAGCAUUAAACUAGUGGAUCCAAAUCAGCCCCUUACGAAGCAACGCAUAGACUGGGGUUUAAGCUUCUGUUACUCCAGCAACCCAUCAUCUACUUACUACUCCCCAAUGCCUUCCUCUAGGCCCAAAUAUGGUGAAGUGUUAUGUAGUCGACGUUCACAUAACACCACUAGAGGAAAAUCAACAUACAACAUAUCAAAAUACCGAGCAAAUACCAAACUCACAUGACUAUUAUUAGCAUGACUUAUCCCAUGUCCCCAGGAACAAAAGUAACUACUCACAAAGCAUAAUCAUAAUCAUGAUCAGAGGUGUAAUGAAUAACUUCAAGGAUCUGAACAUAAACUCUUCCACCAAGUAAUCCAACUAGCAUCAACUACAAAUAGUAAUCAACACUACUAGCAACCUUACAAGUACCAAUCGGAGUCGCGAGAUGGAGAUUGGUUACAAGAGAUGAACUAGGGAUUGGAGAGGAACUGGUGCCGAUGAAGAUGUUGAUGAAGAUGCAUCCCCUCCGACGAGAGGAGUGUUGGUGAUGACGAAGGCGACGAUUUCCCCCUCCGGGAGGGAAGUUUCCCCGGCAGGAUCGUCCUGCCGGAGCUCUAGAUUGGAUCUGCUCAAGUUCCGCCUCGUGGCGGCGGCGAAACCACGAAAACGCUCCCGAAUGAAUUUUUUUUUCUGGAACGAAACCCUUCAUAUAGCAAAAGAGGCGGGCCAGUGGGCCGCCAGGGUGCCCACAAGCCCUGUUGCCACGGCCAGGGGAUAGGCUGCGGCAACCAGGCUUGUGCCCCCCUGGUUGCUCCCCUCUGACACUUCUUUCGCCCAGUAUUUUUUAUAAAAUCCAAAAAAAAUCCACGUUGAUUUUCAGGACAUUUGGAGUUGCGCGGAAUAGAGCACUCAGACUUGCUCCUUUUCCAGUCCAGAAUUCCAGCUGUCGGUAUUCUCCCUCUUCAAAUAAACCUUGCAAAAUAAGAGAUAAAGGCAUAAUUAAGGUUCCACAAAGUAUAAUAACAGUCCAAAAAGCGAUAAAUAUCAACAUGAAAGCAUGAUGCAAAAUGGACGUAUCAAGGGCCAAGGCAGGAGAGCUACAGGGGGCCCACAAGCCAUGUAGCCGCCACCAGGGGGGCCGGUGGCUACCAGGCUUGUGGCCUCCCUGGCGCUCCCCUGCCCUAUCUCUUUCACCUAUAUAUUCCCUAAAAUCCAGAAAAAAAUGAGGUCAUCCACGAAAACACUUUUUCGCCGCCGCAAGCUUUCGUUUCCGCGAUAUCUCAUUUGGAGACCCUUCCCGGUGCCGUGCCGGAGGGGACUUUGGAGUUGGAGGGCUUCUACAUCAACAUCAACGCCUCUCCAAUGACUCGUGAGUAGUCCACUUCAGACCUACGGGUCCGUAGUUAGUAGCUAGAUGGCUUCUUCUCUCUCUUGGAUCUUCAAUACAAAGUUCUCCAUGAUCUUCUUGGAGAUCUAUCCGAUGUAAUCCUCUUUGGCGGUGUGUUUGUCGAGAUACGAUGAAUUGUGGAUUUGUGAUCAGAUUAUCUAUGAUAUAUAUUUGAGUCUUUGCUCAUUUCUUAUAUGCAUGAUUUGAUAUCCUUUUAAGUCUCUCCGAGUCUUGUGUUUUGUUUGGCCAACUAGAUCUAUGAUUCUUGUAAUGGGAGAAGUGCUUGGUUUUGGGUUCAUACCGUGUGGUGACCUUUCCCAGUGACAGAAGGGGCAGCAAGGCACACAUCGUGUUGUUGCCAUCAAGGGUAAUAAGAUGGGCUUUUAUCGUAGAUAUGAGAUUGUCCAUCUACAUCAUGUCAUCUUGCUUAAGGCGUUACUCUGUUCUUAUGAACUUAAUACACUAGAUGCAUGCUGGAUAGCGGUCGACGUGUGGAGUAAUAGUAGUAGAUGCACAAAGUAUCGGUCUACUUGUUUUGGACGUGAUGCCUAUAGAUAUAAUCAUUACCAUAGAUGAUGUCACGACUUUGCGCGGUUCUAUCAAUUGCUUGACAGUAAUUCGUUCACCCACCGUCUACUUGCUUUCAUGAGAGAAGUCACUAGUGAACACUACGGCCCCCGGGUCUAUUCACAACUAUCGUUUCCACUUUCGCUUUUACUUUGCUUUGUUUAUUUUUUGCUUUCAGUUCUCACUUUGCAAACAAUCUAUAAGGGAUUGACAACCCCUUCAUAGCGUUGGGUGCAAGCUCUUUGUGUUUGUGGAGGUACUUGUGACUCGACACGAUUCUCCCACUGGAUCGAUACCUUGGUUCUCAAACUGAGGGAAAUACUUACCGCCGCUGUGCUACAUCACCCUUUCCUCUUCAAGGGAACAUCAACGCAAGGCUCCAAGGCCGCGGGGAAAUACUUUGCAUAUUUGCCAAGGAAGUCCCUAUAGGCGUAGCCCGUGACAGAAGGAUUCCUGGCGCCGUUGCCAGGGAAGGUUUGUUGUCGCAGUAGCAGAAGGAUUUCUGGCGCCGUUGCCGGGGAGGAGGAUCGCUUGCGGAGGAGAGAUCAAGUCAAGAUCUAUCCAAGUAGGUGUCACAAACUCAUCUCUUGCAUUUACCUUUUUGCCAGUUGCCUCUCGUUUUCCUCUCCCCCACUUCACAUUUGUCGUUUUCAUUUGCCUUUUUCGUUUGCCUUUUCCGUUCGCCUUUUUGUUCGCCCUUUUUUCUCGCUUUCUUUCUGUUCGCUUGUGUGCCAUGUGCCUUCAGUAUGCUUGCAUCUUCGCUUGCUGAAAAUCUAGUGAUAUGGAUCCUCAUCAACUUGCUAAUCUCUUUAAGAGAUCCAAUUAUGUUGAUCCAAUUGCUAGUAAGUUGAGUGCACUUGACUUUCUUUAUAGAGUUUUGCUUGAGAUGCGUGAAUCUUAAAAUUGUGAGGAAGAAAUUUAUGAAGUGAUUCAUGAGGGCUCCUUGGAUGAAAAGCAUGAUUGCAAUGGUUUCACUAUAAAUUCUAUUAGUGACAAUCAUGCUAAAAAUAUGCAAAACCCUAACCUCAUGAUGAAUAUGAUAUUUGCAAUAAUAUUGAAAGUGGGUUUGGAGAAUUCAUGACUUUAGUUGAUGAUAAUCCCACUAUUUUUGAAGAGCAUCAACUUUGCAUGCAUGUGGAUCAUGAAAACAAUAUCCUAUGUGAUAUUUACAUUGUUGAAUUCGAAUAUGAUCCCACAUGUAAUUAUUAUGAGAGAGGAAAAUAUGGUGGUAGAAACUUUCAUAUCACUAAAUUACCUCUCGUUAUGUUGAGAUUGCUAUUGUCUCUUUCUUCUUCCUUGCAUAUGGUAACUAUUGGUUGUCUUGACGAUCUGUUUUCCUAUAAAAUGCCUAUGCAUAGGAAGUAUGUUAGACUUACAUGUGAUUUUUACAUGCUUCAUGAUGCUCUCGUUGUGCUUCAAUUCUUGUCUUUUGUGUGAGCAUCAUUGAACUAUCAAUGCCUAGCUAAGGGCGUUAAACAAUAGCGCUUGUUGGGAGGCAACCCAACGAAUCUAUCCUUUUUCUUUCUGUUUUGUGUUUUCCACACUUUCAUAAUUCUGUUAUGAUUGUGUUUUUUGUGUUUCCUUUUGCGUUUGUGCCAAUUAAAACCGUUAUGAUUAGUCUUGGGGAUGAUCGUUUGGUCAUGCUGGAAAAGACAGAAACUUUCUGCUCACGAAAAGAAUUUUCAUUUUUUUCCGUAAGAGCUUUUGAGUUGAUUCUUUUUGCUUCUGAUUGCUACACAAAUUCUUCAGACUGUCGUAAUUUUUCAGAAUUUUUGAAGUACAGAAGUAUACGAAGUAUACAGAUUGCUACAGACUGGUUUGCUGUUAACAGAUUAUGUUUCUAUUGAGUUGGUUGCUUAUUUUGAUGAAACUAUGGAUAGUAUCGGGGGGUAUUUGUUGGAAAUAUGCCCUAGAGGCAAUAAUAAAUUAGUUAUUAUUAUAUUUCUUAGUUCAUGAUAAUCGUUUAUUAUCCAUGCUAUAAUUGUAUUGAUUGGAAACACAGUGCAUGUGUGGAUACAUAGACAAAACACUGUCCCUAGUAAGCCUCUAGUUGACUAGCUCGUUGAUCAAAGAUGGUCAAGGUUUCCUGACCAUAGGCAAGUGUUGUCACUUGAUAACGGGAUCACAUCAUUAGGAGAAUCAUGUGAUGGACUAGACCCAAACUAAUAGACGUUGCUACUGUUUUCUGCGUGUCAAGUAUUUGUUCCUAUGACCAUGAGAGCAUAUAACUCACUGACACCGGAGGAAUGCUUUGUGUGUAUCAAACAUCGCAACAUAACUGGGUGACUAUAAAGAUGCUCCACAGGUAUCUCCGAAGGUGUUCGUUGAGUUAGUAUGGAUCGAGACUGGGAUUUGUCACUCCGUGUGACGGAGAGGUAUCUCACGGCCCACUCGGUAAUACAACAUCACACACAAGCCUUGCAAGCAAUGUGACUUAGUGUAAGUUGCGGGAUCUUGUAUUACGGAACGAGUAAAGAGACUUGCCGGUAAACGAGAUUGAAAUAGGUAUGCGGAUACUGACGAUCGAAUCGUACGGGAAAGUAACAUACCGAAGGACAAAGGGAAUGACAUACGGGAUUAUAUAAUCCUUGGCACUGAGGUUCAAACGAUAAGAUCUUCGUAGAAUAUGUGGGAUCCAAUAUGGGCAUCCAGGUCCCGCUAUUGGAUAUUGACCGAGGAGUCACUUGGGUCAUGUCUACAUAGUUCUCGAACCCGCAGGGUCUGCACACUUAAGGUUCGACGUUGUUUUAUGCGUAUUUGAGUUAUAUGGUUGGUUACCGAAUGUUGUUCGGAGUCCCGGAUGAGAUCACGGACGUCACGAGGGUUUCCGGAAUAGUCCGGAAACGAAGAUUGAUAUAUAGGAUGACCUCAUUUGAUUACCGGAAGGUUUUUGGAGUUACCGGGAAUGUACCGGGAAUGACGAAUGGGUUCCGGGUGUUCACCGGGGGGGGCAACCCUCCCCGGGGAAGCCCAUAGGCCUUGGGGGUGGCGCACCAGCCCUUGGUGGGCUGGUAGAACAGCCCAAGAAGGCCCUAUGCGCCAAGGAUAGGAAAUCAAAAAGAAAAGAAAAAAAAGAGGUGGGAAGGAGAGAAGGACUCCACUUUCCAAUCCUAGUUGGACUAGGAUUGGAGGAGGACUCCUCCUCCCUUGGUGGUGCAGCCCUUGGGGCUCCUUGAGCCUCAAGGCAAGCCUCCCCUCCCUCCUCCUAUAUAUAUGGAGCAAUUAGGGCUGAUUUGAGACAACUUUUGCCACAGCAGCCCGACCACAUAUGUGACAGCCCGAUGCCGACGUUCCAGAAGAUUCCCCUCUCUUUCCGUUUUCGUCGUGUGUCUAUUCUCUUUUGUCGCAUCAUCAUCAUCGCAUCAUGCGCAUCAUAUGCAUUGCAUCAGCAUCCCGUUGCCGCCCGUUUUCAAAACCUGCAUUCGCUAGUAGUCGCCGGUUCUCGUCGUUGUCCGUUCUGAGCCCGACCGCACUCGCACGCGCCCGCGGCACCGUCGAAACCCUGUUUUAAAAGUGUGCAUAAAACCUUCUCUGAUUGGGUUGAGAUUUGACGUGCGGUCGUUUUUUUAAUAUAGGUAGGCCGCCUGUCAAGUUUCGUCGCAAUCGGAGUCCGUCUGGUACCCGAACGGUCGUCCGUAGCGGCACCGUCUUCGGUCUAUCGCGGUCGUUUUCCCUCUCACCUCCGCCUAGCCACUCUUCACAGCCACCUAGACAUUCACGCGUCUGUGGCCGUUCGAUCGCGAUCACGUGGUCGAAAACGGAGUCGGAUUCGGAUAACCCUAGCCCCCUUUCCUAUUUAAUCUCCUCCUCCUCUCAUUUUGGACAGCCAAUCCCCCUUGCCUCGUUUUCCGUGCAAACCUAACCCUAGUCUAUCCACCUUUUCCACCUUUCAGAUCUGAUCUAGCCUCUCCAUCGAUCUAGACCGUUGGAUCGGAGAUCCAACGGAUGAAAAUACUCUUGAGCCUUCCAUGGAGCUCCUCCCGUGUCUCUCCUCGUGCCCGAGCUCCUUCCUCCCGAGCAUGGCCGCAGCUCCUCCCCGCUGCCGGAGCACCACCGGCCAGGCAGCAGCAGCCGUCGGAGCUUCUUCGCCGGGCCACCACCUUCUCCUCCCCUUUCCUCUCUCCUUCCUCUCCCUCUCCUUCCCUGCCUCGUCCUCACCUUCUUCUUCUUCUUUGCAGGUUCAAUGGCCGUCGUUGAGCUCGCCUGUGCGCCUCUCCAUGUCCUAUCUCUGGCCAGAUCCGGGAUGGAGCUGCCAGAUCCGCUCGUUCCCAUGCUCCUGUGGCCGCCCUCGCCCCAACCAGCCUCGUCACCCGGUUGCCGGCGCGUUCGUGCAUCUCCAUGGCCGACGGGAUCGGUUCCCCUGUAAGCUUCGUUCUGAAUCUGUUGCCUAGAGGUAAUAUAUGUUAGACGCUGACUUUAAUCAUGUGUUCAACGCUAGCUGAGUUGGCUAGGGCAGCCGAUCCCAUCUCCUAGCACCAGCAGGUCGAGGGUUCAAGUCCCCGUGAAUGCAUGUUUUUUAUAUGCAUUUUUUUCCUCUUGAGGAUGACCUCCUUCCUUUAUUUUAGUGUCUGUCCAGCCACUAUUAUUUCACAAACACUCGGUAGCCCAAUUGAUCAACUUUUGUUAGCAACCAUUGGAGUCCUGGGAUCAAAUCCCAGUGUCCUCCUUUUUUUUUGCUUUCGGGAAGAUUCUUUUUAGCUUUUGUAAAAUCCAUAUAAAUUCAACCGUGCGUCGGAUUGCGACAAGUUAGAUAUGUAACUCGUGUACAAUUUCGCGUAGAUUACGAAUUUGUAACUUGCAUAAAUGUUUGAAAUAGUUUGACCCGCCGAAUCCCUACAAACGCGUGCUGACCUAUUAUGUUUUGUCCCGUAUUAAUUUUCUCGUGCGUGUCUGGACUGUCCGUAUACCGGAGAUUAAAUGUCCAUGUUUUAGGGACCAUUUUUCCAUGAAUGUUAGAGCGGUCAUUGGUAUUUUUGCGUGUAGGGUUUGCCGGUAGUUUAUUUUCCAGUAUAUAGGUGAUUAUCUCGCAUUAAUGUGUGGCAUUAUUUUGUGUUGCAACCCCACAUAUUUUAUAUGUUUUCGGGGUAGAAAAAUACCAUGGAUUUUUAUGUGCAAUUAGUUUUGCCAUUAGAGCAAGUUAGUUCGUGAGAUAUUUUGCCAUGUUGCCCUUUUGUUUAAUUCGUAGGAUUUAUUCCGUGCGUUGUUUGACGGAGUUGUCAACUAGAGAGUUGAUCUUGGAUGUUUUGUUUAGCCUCUGGUAUUUUUAGUUGUAAUAGAAAUGCAUGUUUAGGUGUGUUUUUCUUGCUCGUAAGUUGCUAGAAAUAGUGCUGUUUUAGGGGUGCUGAAAUAUUUCUAAGUCUGGAAUCUGUUAUAUUUUGUUGCUGUCUUGUCUUGCUUGCAUCUUGUGAUCUGUAGCUCUUUUGAGGUUGGUCCAAUGGAGUUAGUUGUACCCCUUGUGUUUCUCUAGCAUGCUGUGAAUUUUCAUGCCAUUUGGAGACCUCUGGCUUAGGAUUUUGCUGCUGUCAAUAUGCCUUCAGGCUGAAAACUGCACUUUCAUGAUGUGUUAUUUUCACUAAGUCUGAAAUAGUGUGUGAGAUGCCAUUUUGUGUCUUCUUUUCCUAGUGCUCCUUGCUGCCAUGCUAGUUGUUGUUAGCUGUUCGUAGUAAUGCUUCUUUCCCUCUUCCAUGCCAUGCCUUACUUGAGCAUAUCGGAGUUGUGUAGCCGUAGUUGUGGGGCGUAGAAAAUGGUAUGUGGCUGAUUUUGGCAGAUUGUAGUGUUUUCUUGUUAUGCUCGUAGUUUUCGAACCGUAGCUCCGUUUUUUCUUGCUUAGAAUCUCGUGUAGUUUCAUUUUCUCUUGCUGUUUGUAUGUGUUGAAGUGCUCGUAGCCGCCGUUGCACACAUUUUUGCAUUCAUGCUAUCAUAUCUUGCGGUGCUUGUAUCUUUUGAUCCGUAGCUCCGUUGGAGAUGUUCUUUAUGUGUAGAUUGCUUGCCUUGAUGCGUAGAAUCAUGUGAACCUAUUUGUUUUGCGGUUUAACAACUAAUCAAAUGCAUUAGUUCAGAUCUGGACAGAAUUGUAAAUUAACAUGUGAGGUCGUCUCGGAGAUGCUAUAUGUCAUUUCGGACCUCACUUAAAAUGCCUAGAUAGGUAGUUUAACUUCCGCUUCACCUCUUACAUGUUUGACAACAUUAAUAUUACCGUGUAGAUAACCGGGAGUGAACUAAAUAAUUAACGUGGAAUUUCGUCAAUAUGCAACUCGUUGCAUAUUGAACUUCACUUAAUGUGUAGUUUUGAUUGUGUGAAUUUGUCAUGCCGUGACUUGCAUGUAUUUAGCUGUUCAUGCAUCAUAUGUGUUGUGCUUCGUGUGGUGAAUAUCGUGUGUUGAUGCUUGUUUCCGGUUUCCCCGUCUCGAUAGAGUUCCGCAAGCGAGUCGGAUGUGAGGACCCGUUCGACUACAUCGGUUCGUCUGCUUCACGGAGGCAUUCUUCUUCCAAGCGGGAUCUCAGGCAAGAUGAUCAUUUCCCCAGAUACCAUUACUAUCAUUGUCAUGCUAGUUAUUUCGAUGCUAUCGCUUAUGUCUCGUUGCCUACCACUGUUAAUUAUCAGCCUCUCAACAAUGCCAUGAAACCUUCAACCUCUUCAACCUAGCAAACCACUGAUUGGCUAGGUUACUGCUUGCUUAACCAUGUUGAUAGCGUUACUAGUUGCAGGUGCAGAUGCUUCCAUGCGAAAGCAUGGGUUCCUUGUUAUAUCACCAUAUUUAACUGCUAUUUAAUUUAAUGCACCUAUAUACUUGGUAAAAGGUGGAAGGCUCGGCCUUUCUAGCCUGGUGUUUUGUUCCACCUUUGCCCCUUUUAGUUACCGGCUACCGGUGUUAUGUUCCAUAAAUGAGCGCUCCUAACACGAUCGGGGUUGUUAUGGGGACCCCCUUGAUAAUUCGUUUUAGAUUAAAGCUGGUCUGGCAAGGCCCAACAUUGGUACUACAUUUGCCUAAUCACCUAAUAAAUUGCAUAGGGACCCGCCGGCACCCGCGGACUAUUUUAAUCAACCCCCGGGCCAGUGCUCCUCAUGAGUGUUGGUCCAAAACAGAGCAGCUUAUUAACGCUACCCGGGGCAACUCGGCGUUUGGCGUGGUAACCAUAGCUCAUCCGUCGUGUCCUGAGAACGAGGUACGCGACUCCUAUCGGGAUCAUCGACACGUCGGGCGGCCUUGCUGGAUUAGUUUUACCUUUGACGAAAUAUCUUGUGCAUCGGGAUUCCGGUGAUGCUUUGGGUAAUCUCAGAGUUGAGGUUUUCCACCAGGGAAUCCGUCGAGAUCGCGAGCUUCGUGAUUGAGGAUUUCUAUGCGGCUUGUGGUAAUUUGUGAUGGACUAGUUGGAGCACCCCUGCAGGGUUAAAUCUUUCGGAAAGCCAUGCCCGCGGUUAUGUGGAACAUGGAAGCUUGCAUGCNNNNNNNNNNNNNNNNNNNNNNNNNNNNNNNNNNNNNNNNNNNNNNNNNNNNNNNNNNNNNNNNNNNNNNNNNNNNNNNNNNNNNNNNNNNNNNNNNNNNCCCCCAAACCCAAAACCUUACGUACCAACGUUCGGUUUUGGGGGGGGAGAGUCCCUCCCCCUUGGCUCGGCCGACCCCCUUGAGGGUCCUUGGACCCCAAGGCAAGGCCCCUCCCUCCCACCUAUAUAUACGGAGGUUUUAGGGCUGAUUUGAGACGACUUUUCCACGGCAGCCCGACCACAUACCUCCACGGUUUUUCCUCUAGAUCGCGUUUCUGCGGAGCUCGGGCGGAGCCCUGCUGAGACAAGGUCAUCACCAACCUCCGGAGCGCCGUCACGCUGCCGGAGAACUCUUCUACCUCUCCGCCUCUCUUGCUGGAUCAAGAAGGCCGAGAUCAUCGUCAAGCUGUACGUGUGCUGAACGUGGAGGUGCCGUCCGUUCGGUACUAGAUCGUGGGACUGAUCGCGGAAUUGUUCGCGGGGCGGAUCGAGGGACGUGAGGACGUUCCACUACAUCAACCGCGUUCUCUAACGCUUCUUCUGUACGGUCUACAAGGGUACGUAGAUCACUCAUCCCCUCUCGUAGAUGGACAUCACCAUGAUAGGUCUUCGUGCGCGUAGGAAAAUUUUUGUUUCCCUUGCGACGUUCCCCAACAGUGGCAUCAUGAGCUAGGUUCAUGCGUAGAUGUCUUCUCGAGUAGAACACAAAAGGUUUUGUGGGCGGUGAUGUGCGUUUUGCUGCCCUCCUUAGUCUUUUCUUGAUUCCGCGGUAUUGUUGGAUCGAAGCAGCUUGGACCGACAUUACUCGUACGCUUACGAGAGACUGGUUUCAUCGUUACGAGUAACCCCCUUUGCUCAAAGAUGACUGGCAAGUGACGGUUUCUCCAACUUUAGUUGAAUCGGAUUUGACCGAGGAGGUCCUUGGAUGAGGUUAAAUAGCAACUCAUAUAUCUCCGUUGUGGUGUUUGCGUAAGUAAGAUGCGAUCCUACUAGAUACCCUUGGUCACCACGUAAAACAUGCAACAACAAAAUUAGAGGACGUCUAACUUGUUUUUGCAGGGUAUGAUUGUGAUGUGAUAUGGCCAAUGAUGUGAUGUGAUAUAUUGGAUGUAUGAGAUGAUCAUGUUGUAAUAGAAAUAUCGACUUGCACGUCGAUGGUACGGCAACCGGCAGGAGCCAUAGGGUUGUCUUUAUACUAACAUAUGUGCUUGCAGAUGCGUUUACUAUUUUGCUAGGAUGUAGCUUUAGUAGUGAUAGCAUAAGUAGCACGACAACCCCGAUGGCAGCACGUUGAUGGAUGAUCAUGGUGUGGCGCCGGUGACAAGAAGAUCGUGCCGGUGCUUUGGCGAUGGAGAUCAAGAAGCACGAGAUGAUGGCCAUAUCAUGUCACUUAUGAAUUGCAUGUGAUGUUAAUCCUUUUAUGCACCUUAUUUUGCUUAGAACGACGGUAGCAUUAUGAGGUGAUCUCUCACUAAAAUUUCAAGACGAAAUUGUGUUCUCCCCGACUGUGCACCGUUGCUACAGUUCGUCGUUUCGAGACACCACGUGAUGAUCGGGUGUGAUAGACUCAACGUUCACAUACAACGGGUGCAAAACAGUUGCGCACGCGGAACACUCGGGUUAAGCUUGACGAGCCUAGCAUGUGCAGACAUGGCCUCGGAACACAUGAGACCGAAAGGUCGAGCAUGAAUCGUAUAGUUGAUAUGAUUAGCAUAGAGAUGCUUACCACUGAAACUAUUCUCGACUCACGUGAUGAUCGGACUUGAGAUAGUGGAUUUGGAUCAUGUACCACUCAAAUUACUAGAGAGAUGUACUUUUUGAGUGGGAGUUCUUAAGUAAUAUGAUUAAUUGAACUAAUUGUCAUGAACAUAGUCUAAUGGUCUUUGCGAAUUAUGAUGUAGCUUGCGCUAUAGCUCUACCUUUUUUAUAUGUUCCUAGAGAAAAUUUAGUUGAAAAUUGAUAGUAGCAAACUUUGCAGACUGAGUCUGUAAAACCGAGGAUUGUCCUCGUUGCUACGCAGAAGGCUUAUGUCCUUAAUGCACCACUCGGUGUGCUGCACCUCGAGCGUCGUCUGUGGAUGCUAUGAACAUCCGACAUACACGUUGCUGAUGACUACACGAUAGUUCAGUGCAAAAUACUUAAUGGCUUAGAAGCAAGGCGUCGAAAACGUUGUAAAACGUCACGGAACAUAAGUGAUGUUCUAAAGAGAUGAAAUUUGUGAUUUCAUGCUUGUGCCCUUGUUAAGAGGUACGAGACCUCCGACAAGAUUCUUUGUCCACAAACCACAGGAGAAAAGGCUCAAUCGUUGAGCAUGUGCUCAGAUUGUCUGAGUACGACAAUCGCUUGAAUCAAGUGGGAGUUAAUCUUCCAGAUGAGAUAGUGAUAGUUCUCCAAAGUCACUGCCACCAAGCUGUGAGAGCUUCGUGAUGAACUAUAACAUAUCAAGGAUACAUACAAUGAUCCUUGAGCGAUUCACGAUGUUUGACACUGCGAAAGUAGAAAUCAAGAAGGAGCAUCAAUAGUUGAUGGUUUGUGAAACCACUAAGUUUCAAGAAAGGCAAGGGCUAGAAGGGAUACUUCGUGAAACGGCAAAACAGUUGCUGCACUGAUGAAGAGACCCAAGAUUGAACCCAAACCCAAGACUAAGUGCUUCUAUAAUGAGGGGAACAAUCACCGAGGCGGAGCAACUCAAGAUACUUGGUAAAUAAGAAGGCUGGCAAAAGUCGAAAGAAGAGUGUUUGAUGUGCAUGAUGUUGAUGUGUACUUUACUAGUACUCCUAGUAGCACGAGGGUAUUGGAUACCGGUUCGGUUGCUAAGUGAUUAGUGACGCGAAAUGAAAGCUACGGCAUAAACGGAGACUAGCUAAAGGCGAGGUGACAAUACGUGUUGGAAGUGUUUCCAAGAUUGAUAUGAUCAAACGUCGCAUGCUCCCUCUACCAUCGGGAUUGGUGUUAAACCUAAAUAAUUGUUAUUUGGUGCUUGCGUUAAGCAUGAACAUGAUUGGAUCGUGUUUAUCGCAAUACGAUUGUUCAUUUAAGGAGAAUAAUGGUUACUCUAUUCUCUUGAAUAUUCACCUUCAAUGGUUUAUUGAAUCUCGAUCGUAGUGUUACACAUGUUCAUGAUAUUGGUGCCAAAAGAUACGAGUUAAUGAUGAUAGUACCACUUACUUGUGGCUCUGCCGCUUGAGUCAUGUUAGUAUAAAUUGCAUGAAGAGGCUCCAUGCUGAUGGAUCUUCGUACUCACCUCAUUUCAAAUCACUAGUGACAUGCAAAUCAUACCACAUGAGCAAGGCCUUGUUUUCAUUGAGAUGAAAUAAGAUAGUAACUUGUUGGAAGUGAUACAUUUUGAUGUAUGCAGUCCAAUGGGUGCUGAGGCACGUAGUGGAUAUCAUUAUGUUCUUACUUCACUGACGAUUUGAGUAGAUACAGGAGUAUUUACUUAAUGAAUCACAAGUCUGAAAUGUUGAAAAGUUCAAUUCCGUUUCAGAGUGAAGUUCGUCGUAACAAGAGGAUAAACUGUCUACGAUAUGAUCAUGGAAAUGAAUAUCUGAGUUACGAGUUUUGGUACACAGUUAAGACAAUGUGGAAAUUGUUUCGCAGUUCAUGCCACCUGGAACAUCAUAGUGUGAUGAUGUGUCUGAACGUCAUAGCCACGCACUAUUUGGUAUGGUGCAUACUAUGAUGUCUCUUAUCGAAUUACCACUAUCGUUUAUGGGUUAUGCAUUAGAGACAACCGCACUCACUUUAAAUAGGGCACCGCAUAUUUCCGUUGAGAUGACACAGUAUAGACUGAGGUUUAGAGAAAUCUAAACUGUCGUUUCUUGAAAGUUUGGGGCUUCGACACUUAUGUGAAGAAGUUUCAGUCUGAUAAGCUCGAACCCAAAGCGGAUAAAUGCAUCUUCAUAAGGAUAUCCAAAACAGUUGGGUACAUCUCCUAUCUCAGAUUCGAAAGCAAAGUGUUUGUUUCUAGAAACGGAUCCUUUCUCGAGGAAAGGUUUCUCUCGAAAGAAUUGAGUGGGAGGGUAGUAGAACUUGAUGAGGUUGUUGAACCAUCACUUCAACCAGUGUAUAGCAGGGCGCAGGAAGUUGUUCAUGUGGCGCCUACACCAAUUGAAGUGGAAGCUGAUGAUGAUGAUCAUUGAGCUUCGAAUCAAGUUACUACAAACCUCGUAGGUCGACAAGGUCGCGUACUGCUGCAGAGUAGUACGGUAACCCUGUCUUGGAGGUCAUGUUGUUGAGCAACAGUGAACCUACGAGUUAUGGAGAAAGCGAUGGUGGGCCCAGAUUCCGACAAAUGGCUGGAAGCCAUGAAAUCCGAGAGAGGAUCCAUGUGUGAAAACAAAGUGUAGACUUUGGUAGAACUACUUGAUGGUCAUAGGACUAUUGAGUAAAAUGGAUCUUUAAAAGAAGACAGACGAUGAUGGUGAUAAGUCACUAUUAAGAAACGCUCGACUUGUCGCAAAGAUGUUUUCGAUAAGAUCAAACAGUUGACUAUGAUGAGACUUUCUCACUCGUAGCGAUGCUAAAAGUCUGUUAGAAUUAUGUUAGUUGUUGAUGCAUUAUUUAUGAAAUAUUGCACGUAGGAUGUCAAAACAUUGUUUUCUCGACGGUUUCCUUGAGCAAACAUUGUAUGUGAUACAACUAGAAGGUUUUGUAGAUCCUAAAGAUACUAGCAAGUAUGCAAGCUCCAGUGAUCCUUCAAUGGACUGGUGCAAGCAUCUCAGAGUUGGAAUAUACACUUUGAUGAGAUGAUCAAAGAUUUUGGGUUUGUACAAGGUUUAUGAGAAACUUGUAUUUCCAAAGAAGUGAGUGGGAGCACUAUAGAAUUUCUGAUAAGUAUAUGUGGUUGACAUAUUGUGGAUCAGAAGUAAUGUAGAAUUUCUGUAAAGCAUACAAGGUUGUUUGAAAGAAGUUUUCAAAGGAAUACCUGGAUUACGCUACUUGAACGUUGAGCAUCAAAGAUCUAUGGAGAUUGAUCGAAAGCGCUUAAUAGAAGUUUCAACAAGAUGCAUGCCUUGACAAGUUUUUGAAAGAGUUCAAAAUAGACCAGCAAAGAAGGAGUUCUUGGUUGCGUUGUGAGGUGUGAAUUUGAGUAAGACUCAAAACCCGACCACGGCAGAAUAAAGAGAAUAGACGAAGGUCGUCUUCUAUGCCUUAGCCGUAGAAUCUAAAGUAUGCCAUGCUGUGUACCGCACCUGAAGUGUGCCUUGACUCAAAGUGUGUUAAGAGGUACAGAGAGUGAUCCAUGAUUGAAUCACUAGCAGCGGUCGAAAUUUAUCCUUAGUGACUAAUGGACUAAGGAAUUUUUCUCGAUUAUGGAGGUGGUUAAAGAGUUUGUCGUAAAGGGUUACGUCAAUGCAAGCUUUGACACUAAUCCGGAUAACUAUGAGUAGUGAAACGGAUUCGUAUAGUAGAGCAGAUAUUUGGAGCAUUUCCGAAUAGCGCGUAGUAGCAGCAUCUAUAAGAUGACAUAAAGAUUUGUAAAGAACGCACGAAUCUGAAAGUUUCAGAACCGUUGACUAAAACCUCUCUCACGAGCAAGACGUGAUCAGACCCCAUAACUAUAUGGGUGUUGGAUUCGUUGGAAUCACAUGGUGAUGUGAACUAGAUUAUUGACUCUAGUGCAAGUGGGAGACUGUUGGAAAUAUGCCCUAGAGGCAAUAAUAAAUUAGUUAUUAUUAUAUUUCUUAGUUCAUGAUAAUCGUUUAUUAUCCAUGCUAUAAUUGUAUUGAUUGGAAACACAAUACUUGUGUGGAUACAUAGACAAAACACUGUCCCUAGUAAGCCUCUAGUUGACUAGCUCGUUGAUCAAAGAUGGUCAAGGUUUCCUGGCCAUAGGCAAGUGUUGUCAGUUGAUAACGGGAUCACAUCAUUAGGAGAAUCAUGUGAUGGACUAGACCCAAACUAAUAGACGUAGCAUGUUGAUCGUGUCAUUUUGUUGCUACUGUUUUCUGCGUGUCAAGUAUUUGUUCCUAUGACCANNNNNNNNNNNNNNNNNNNNNNNNNNNNNNNNNNNNNNNNNNNNNNNNNNNNNNNNNNNNNNNNNNNNNNNNNNNNNNNNNNNNNNNNNNNNNNNNNNNNGGUGUUUGCGUAAGUAAGAUGCGAUCCUACUAGAUACCCUUGGUCACCACGUAAAACAUGCAACAACAAAAUUAGAGGACGUCUAACUUGUUUUUGCAGGGUAUGAUUGUGAUGUGAUAUGGCCAACGAUGUGAUGUGAUAUAUUGGAUGUAUGAGAUGAUCAUGUUGUAAUAGAAAUAUCGACUUGCACGUCGAUGGUACGGCAACCGGCAGGAGCCAUAGGGUUGUCAUUAUACUAACGUUUGUGCUUGCAGAUGCGUUUACUAUUUUGCUAGGAUGUAGCUUUUGUAGUAAUAGCAUGAGUAGCACGACAACCCCGAUGGCGACACGUUGAUGGAGAUCAUGAGGAUGGAGAUCAUGGUGUGACGCCGGUGACAAGAAGAUCGUGCCGGUGCUUUGGUGAUGGAGAUCAAGAAGCACAUGAUGAUGGCCAUAUCAUGUCACUUAUGAAUUGCAUGUGAUGUUAAUCCUUUUAUGCACCUUAUUUUGCUUAGAACGACGGUAGCAUUAUGAGGUGAUCUCUCACUAAAAUUUCAAGACGAAAUUGUGUUCUCCCCGACUGUACACCGUUGCGACAGUUCGUCGUUUAGAGACACCACGUGAUGAUCGGGUGUGAUAGACUCAACGUUCACAUACAACGGGUGCAAAACAGUUGCGCACGCGGAACACUCGGGUUAAGCUUGACGAGCCUAGCAUGUGCAGACAUGGCCUCGGAACACAUGAGACCGAAAGGUCGAGCAUGAAUCGUAUAGUUGAUAUGAUUAGCAUAGAGAUGCUUACCACUGAAACUAUUCUUGACUCACGUGAUGAUCGGACUUGAGAUAGUGGAUUUGGAUCAUGUACCACUCAAAUGACUAGAGAGAUGUACUUUUUGAGUGGGAGUUCUUAAGUAAUAUGAUUAAUUGAACUAAUUGUCAUGAACAUAGUCUAAUGGUCUUUGCGAAUUACGAUGUAGCUUGCGCUAUAGCNNNNNNNNNNNNNNNNNNNNNNNNNNNNNNNNNNNNNNNNNNNNNNNNNNNNNNNNNNNNNNNNNNNNNNNNNNNNNNNNNNNNNNNNNNNNNNNNNNNNUUUCCUCGACGGUUUCCUUGAGCAAACAUUGUAUGUGAUACAACCAGGAGGUUUUGUCGAUCCUAAAGAUACUAGCAAGUAUGCAAGUUCCAGCGAUCCUUCAAUGGACUGGUGCAAGCAUCUCGGAGUUGGAAUAUAUAUACUUUGAUGAGAUGAUCAAAGAUUUUGGGUUUGUACAAGGUUUAUGAGAAACUUGUAUUUCCAAAGAAGUGAGUGGGAGCACUAUAGAAUUUCUGAUAGGUAUAUGUGGUUGACAUAUUGUGGAUCAGAAGUAAUGUAGAAUUUCUGUAAAGCAUACAAGGUUGUUUGAAAGAAGUUUUCAAAGGAGUACCUGGAUUACGCUACUUGAACGUUGAGCAUCAAAGAUCUAUGGAGAUAGAUCAAAAGCGCUUAAUAGAAGUUUCAACAAGAUGCAUGCCUUGACAAGUUUUUGAAGGAGUUCAAAAUAGAUCAGUAAAGAAGGAGUUCUUGGUUGCAUUGUAAGGUGUGAAUUUGAGUAAGACUCAAAACCUGACCACGGCAGAAUAAAGAGAAUAGACGAAGGUCGUCUUCUAUGCCUUAGCCGUAGAAUCUAAAGUAUGCCAUGUUGUGUACCGCACCUGAUGUGUGCCUUGACUCAAAGUCUGUUGAGAGGUACAGAGAGUGAUCCAUGAUUGAAUCACUAGCAGCGGUCGAAAUUUAUCCUUAGUAACUAAUGGACUAAGGAAUUUUUCUCGAUUAUGGAGGUGGUUAAAGAGUUUGUCGUAAAGGGUUACGUCAAUGCAAGCUUUGACACUAAUCCGGAUAACUAUGAGUAGUGAAACGGAUUCGUAUAGUAGAGUAGAUAUUUGGAGCAUUUCCGAAUAGCACGUAGUAGCAGCAUCUAUAAGAUGACAUAAACAUUUGUAAAGAACGCACGAAUCUGAAAGUUUCAGAACCGUUGACUAAAACCUCUCUCACGAGCAAGACGUGAUCAGACCCCAUAACUAUAUGGGUGUUGGAUUCGUUGGAAUCACAUGGUGAUGUGAACUAGAUUAUUGACUCUAGUGCAAGUGGGAGACUGUUGGAAAUAUGCCCUAGAGGCAAUAAUAAAUUAGUUAUUAUUUUAUUUCUUAGUUCAUGAUAAUCGUUUAUUAUCCAUGCUAUAAUUGUAUUGAUUGGAAACACAAUACUUGUGUGGAUACAUAGACAAAACACUGUCCCUAGUAAGCCUCUAGUUGACUAGCUCGUUGAUCAAAGAUGGUCAAGGUUUCCUGGCCAUAGGCAAGUGUUGUCACUUGAUAACGGGAUCACAUCAUUAGGAGAAUCAUGUGAUGGACUAGACCCAAACUAAUAGACGUAGCAUGUUGAUCGUGUCAUUUUGUUGCUACUGUUUUCUGCGUGUCAAGUAUUUGUUCCUAUGACCAUGAGAUCAUAUAACUCACGGACACCGGAGGAAUGCUUUGUGUGUAUCAAACGUCGCAACGUAACUGGGUGACUAUAAAGNNNNNNNNNNNNNNNNNNNNNNNNNNNNNNNNNNNNNNNNNNNNNNNNNNNNNNNNNNNNNNNNNNNNNNNNNNNNNNNNNNNNNNNNNNNNNNNNNNNNCGUUCCAGCGCCACCGGCUGGGUCGCCUGGGGCAUCAACCCCGGCGGCGCCGGCAUGGCCGGCAGCAACGUCUUCCUCGCCUCGCAGGGCGGCGGCGGCGGCGCCGCCGUCUCCGUGCUCACCACCGUCCUGAGGAGCACGGCCCCGGCCCUGGACAACACCACCCUCCAGUUCGGCGUGCCGGUGCCGCCCACCGCCGAGUACGCGGCCGGCGCCUACACGAUCUACGUGACGGUGGCGCUGCCGGGGAACUCCACGCAGCAGAACACGGUGUGGCAGGCGGGGCCGGUCAGCGGCGGGGCCAUAAUGCCGCACCCGGUGUCCGGGCCCAACUUGCAGAGCGUUAAGAGGCAGGACUUCCUGUCCGGCUAGAGCGCCCGACGAGGCAUAUGUUUGUACGCAAAUACUGUCAGUGUCAUGAUCAUGGAGUAUAAAAUAAAUCGCACGGCUUAUUCCUCAUGUUCCUGCUAUUAGACGUCGACGUCGUAUCAAAUGAAGUGUGCGCUAAACACUGUUUAUACGCUCCCAGCCGGAUUUAGGGACAUGGCUUACGGCGAUUAGUAUUUUUUUUCCGACGAAUUCACAAAGCUUUAUUAAUACUAGCAAAAGGGCCCGUGCGUUGCAACGGGAGAAAGAAAAUACCACACGCUUUUAAUCUUUUUAUAAUCAUUUUGAUUUAUUAGAAUAAUAAGUUAACUAACUAAUGUAGCCAGUCCUAUCCUAUUUUGUUGAGAAAUCAACCCGUCCAUUGUUAAUUCCACCGUGAUGAGAAAUCGAACGGGACAAGCAAAGCAAAACAAAGAGGCUACGUGAAUUGAUCAAUGGACUGUUAUCUUAUUUCACCCAUGGGGUAGAGAAUGUGGGAUCAGAUGACAAACUGAAGGUGGUGUUCCAUUUUCUCUCUCUACAACAAUGCAAUCUUACAUUCAAUACAUUCAUUCAUCAGCAAAAAAAUUCUCACAAAACAAAAUUUCUUGCCGGUGCUUGGCACACGGUUGGAGAGCAUGGGGAGGGGAUCUCACCAAAUGAUGAGUUCCUGCCGGAGGAGGGGAUACGAUGAGGGGAGCAAGGGUUAGGCGCCUCUAUCUGGCCAUAAGGAGUCGCCGUUGCCGCGCCAUAACCUCGGAGUUCCCCGUGUGAGCCAUGGAGGCCCGCCUCCACCUGCAAGUACUUCGCUCCGCCGCGCCUUAUCCGCACGCCGUCGCCGUUCUGCAUCGAGUAGACGCAUCAUCCCAAGUCGAUGUAGCUGUCGCGUUGAUUUGAUCCAGAAGCUGUGCUCGAGCGCCGAAACAGGGGCAACAAACGGGCAGAGGUACGACCGCGGAGGCGGCUGGGUUGAGAUCGACAACAAUGGUGGUUGAGGUCGGCCGCGGCGACGAGUGGUGUGGCAGCGGCCUGGGCACAGGCCAGGGUGGACCAGGGUCAACGCGAUGCGCUCGAGCGCCGCAACGGGGGCAGUGAGCGGGGAGAGGUACAACCGCGGAGGCGGGUGGGUUGAGAUCGGCAGCGGUGGCGGUUGAGGUCGGCCGCGACGGCGAGUGGUGUGGCGGCCGCCUAGGCAUAGGCCAGGGGUGGCCGAGGGUCGAUGGGAGGAGGCGGUGCGUACGGGUAUAAUUUUUGCAGCGAAUCGUUUUUUCCUUUUGCGAUUACGAGAAGUAAAUGAUGGAGUGCGGGUUGAAUAACAAAAAUUACAGUUUUUUWWUAAAAUGCCAUGAUGGGUUUUCCGACGGAAGCAAUAGCCGCUUUAUUAUUAGGUAUAGACUAGCAAAAGGUCCGUGGUUGCAACGGAAGAAAAAAUAUCACACGGUUUUAAUUUUUAUAAUCAUUUUAAUUUAUUAAAAUAAUAAGCUAACUAACUAAUGUAGUAAGUCCUAUCCUAUUUUGUUGGAAAAUCAACCCGUCCAUUGUUAAUUCCAUCAUGAUGAGAAAUUGAGCGGGACAAUCAAAGCAAAACAAAGAGGCUACCUGAAUUGAUCAAUGGACUGUUAUCUUAUUUCACUCAUGGGCUAGAGAAUGUGGGAUCAGAUGACAAACUGAAGGUGGUGUUCCAUUCUCUCUCUCUACAACAACGCAAUCUUACAUUAAAUACAUUCAUUCAUCAGCAAACAAAUUCCCACAAAACAAAAUUUCGUGCCGGUGCUUGGCACACGGUUGGAGGCAUGGGGAGGGGAUCUCACCAGAUGAUGAGUUCCUGCCGGAGGAGGGGAUACAUUGAGGGGAGCAAGGGUUAGGCGCCUCUAUCUGGCCAUAAGGAGUCGCCGUUGCCGCGCCAUAACCUCGGAGUUCCCCGUGUGAGCCAUGGAGGCCCGCCUCCACCUGCAAGUACUUCGCUCCGCCGCGCCUUAUCCGCACGCCGUCGCCGUUCUGCAUCGAGUAGACGCAUCAUCCCAAGUCGAUGUAGCUGUCGCGUUGAUUUGAUCCAGAAGCUGUGCUCGAGCGCCGAAACAGGGGCAACAAACGGGCAGAGGUACGACCGCGGAGGCGGCUGGGUUGAGAUCGACAACAAUGGUGGUUGAGGUCGGCCGCGGCGACGAGUGGUGUGGCAGCGGCCUGGGCACAGGCCAGGGUGGACCAGGGUCAACGCGAUGCGCUCGAGCGCCGCAACGGGGGCAGUGAGCGGGGAGAGGUACAACCGCGGAGGCGGGUGGGUUGAGAUCGGCAGCGGUGGCGGUUGAGGUCGGCCGCGACGGCGAGUGGUGUGGCGGCCGCCUAGGCAUAGGCCAGGGUGGCCGAGGGUCGAUGGGAGGAGGCGGUGCGUACGGGUAUAAUUUUUGCAGCGAAUCGUUUUUUCCUUUUGCAUUACAGAUAAAUGAUGGAGUGCGGGUUGAAUAACAAAAAUUACAGUUUUUUUAUAAAAUGCCAUGAUGGGUUUUCCGACGGAAGCAAUAGCCGCUUUAUUAUUAGGUAUAGACUAGCAAAAGGUCCGUGGUUGCAACGGAAGAAAAAAUAUCACACGGUUUUAAUUUUUAUAAUCAUUUUAAUUUAUUAAAAUAAUAAGCUAACUAACUAAUGUAGUAAGUCCUAUCCUAUUUUGUUGGAAAAUCAACCCGUCCAUUGUUAAUUCCAUCAUGAUGAGAAAUUGAGCGGGACAAUCAAAGCAAAACAAAGAGGCUACCUGAAUUGAUCAAUGGACUGUUAUCUUAUUUCACUCAUGGGCUAGAGAAUGUGGGAUCAGAUGACAAACUGAAGGUGGUGUUCCAUUCUCUCUCUCUACAACAACGCAAUCUUACAUUAAAUACAUUCAUUCAUCAGCAAACAAAUUCCCACUAAAACAAAAUUAACUUGUCGGUCGGCGUGUCGUCGACGUACGGUACGGGUCGGANNNNNNNNNNNNNNNNNNNNNNNNNNNNNNNNNNNNNNNNNNNNNNNNNNNNNNNNNNNNNNNNNNNNNNNNNNNNNNNNNNNNNNNNNNNNNNNNNNNNUGCAAGCRAUGUAACUUAGUGUAAGUUACGGGAUCUUGUAUUACGGAACGAGUAAAGAGACUUGCCGGUAAACGAGAUUAGAAAUAGGUAUGCGGAUACUGACGAUCGAAUCGUCGGGCAAGUAACAUACCGAAGGACAAAGGGAAUGACAUACGGGAUUAUACGAAUCCUUGGCACUGAGGUUCAAACGAUAAGAUCUUCGUAGAAUAUGUAGGAUCCAAUAUGGGCAUCCAGGUCCCGCUAUUGGAUAUUGACCGAGUAGUCUCUCGGGUCAUGUCUACAUAGUUCUCGAACCCGCAGGGUCUGCACACUUAAGGUUCGACGUUGUUUUAUGCGUAUUUGAGUUAUAUGGUUGGUUACCGAAUGUUGUUCGGAGUCCCGGAUGAGAUCACGGACGUCACGAGGGUUUCCGGAAUGGUCCGGAAACGAAGAUUGAUAUAUAGGAUGACCUCAUUUGAUUACUGGAAGGUUUUCGGAGUUACCGGGAAUGUACCGGGAAUGACGAAUGGGUUCCGGGAGUUCACCGGGGGGGGCAACCCACCCCGGGGAAGCCCAUAGGCCAUAAGGGUGGAGCACCAUCCCUUAGUGGGCUGGUGGGGCAGCCCAAAAGGGCCCUAUGCGCCAAGGAUAAGAAAUCAAAGGAAAAAAAGGAGGAGGUGGGAAGGGAGGGGGACUCCCUCCCACCAAACCUAGUCCAACUCGGUUUUGGGGGGGGAGAGUCCUCCCCCUUGGCUCGGCCGACCCCCUUGAGGGUCCUUGGACCCCAAGGCAAGGCCCCUCCCUCCCACCUAUAUAUACGGAGGUUUUAGGGCUGAUUUGAGACGACUUUUCCACGGCAGCCCGACCACAUACCUCCACGGNNNNNNNNNNNNNNNNNNNNNNNNNNNNNNNNNNNNNNNNNNNNNNNNNNNNNNNNNNNNNNNNNNNNNNNNNNNNNNNNNNNNNNNNNNNNNNNNNNNNGAGAUAUAGUGAGUUGACUAUUUAACCUCAUCCAAGGACCUCCUCGGUCAAAUCCGAUUCAACUAAAGUWGGAGAAACCGUCACUUGCCAGUCAUCUUUGAGCAAAGGGGGUUACUCGUAACGAUGAAACCAGUCUCUCGUAAGCGUACGAGUAAUGUCGGUCCAAGCCGCUUCAAUCCAACAAUACCGCGGAAUCAAGAAAAGACUAAGGAGGGCAGCAAAACGCACAUCACCGCCCACAAAAACUUUUGUGUUCUACUCGAGAAGACAUCUACGCAUGAACCUAGCUCAUGAUGCCACUGUUGGGGAACGUCGCAAGGGAAACAAAAAUUUUCCUACGCGCACGAAGACCUAUCAUGGUGAUGUCCAUCUACGAGAGGGGAUGAGUGAUCUACGUACCCUUGUAGACCGUACAGAAGAAGCGUUAGAGAACGCGGUUGAUGUAGUGGAACGUCCUCACGUCCCUCGAUCCGCCCCGCGAACAAUUCCGCGAUCAGUCCCACGAUCUAGUUACCGAACGGACGGCAACCUCCACGUUCAGCACACGUACAGCUUGACGAUGAUCUCGGCCUUCUUGAUCCAGCAAGAGAGGCGGAGAGGUAGAAGAGUUCUCCGGCAGCGUGACGGCGCUCCGGAGGUUCGGUUGACUGACCCUUCGUUCCUACGUACGUCCGACGGGCGUCCCGUCCCGGACGCUGNNNNNNNNNNNNNNNNNNNNNNNNNNNNNNNNNNNNNNNNNNNNNNNNNNNNNNNNNNNNNNNNNNNNNNNNNNNNNNNNNNNNNNNNNNNNNNNNNNNNAGCAAUGUAACUUAAUGUAAGUUGCGGGAUCUUGUAUUACGGAACGAGUAAAGAGACUUGCCGGUAAACGAGAUUGAAAUAGGUAUGCGGAUACUGACGAUCGAAUCUCGGGCAAGUAACAUACCGAAGGACAAAGGGAAUGACAUACGGGAUUAUAUGAAUCCUUGGCACUGAGGUUCAAACGAUAAGAUCUUCGUAGAAUAUGUAGGAUCCAAUAUGGGCAUCCAGGUCCCGCUAUUGGAUAUUGACCGAGGAGUCUCUCGGGUCAUGUCUACAUAGUUCUCGAACCCGCAGGGUCUGCACACUUAAGGUUCGACGUUGUUUUAUGCGUAUUUGAGUUAUAUGGUUGGUUACCGGUAMUGUAGCAUCAUUCCCACUCUUCUUUUGUACUGAUUUUGUUUUUUUUCAGAUUUCUUCAUUUCAUUGUUUCCACUGUUUCGCUUUGGUUUCCUUCGAUUUUCUUCGGGUUUCUAUUCGUUUCCUUYGUUUYCYAACGGUUUUUCGUUUUUCCUCUUUGUUGUUUCUUUCUUUUUUUUCUAUGGUUUUGCAUCUUUUUUAACUCAUGUCUAUUUUUUUACACACAAUGUACAUUUUUUGUAUACAUCAGAAAUAACUUUUAUACAUGGUUAAAUAUAUGAUUACCAGUUUUCUUAAACACAUGUUUCGANNNNNNNNNNNNNNNNNNNNNNNNNNNNNNNNNNNNNNNNNNNNNNNNNNNNNNNNNNNNNNNNNNNNNNNNNNNNNNNNNNNNNNNNNNNNNNNNNNNNCGGAACGAAACGUAAAACUAAAACUUACCGUACGACCGACCGAACGAACGUAACCUACUACUAGUGGUGAUCGUCCAUCUACGAGGAGGGAGUGAGUGAUCUACGUACCUAGUAGAUCGUACAGCAGAAGCGUUAGAGAACGCGGUUGAUGUAGUGGAACGUCCUCACGUCCCUCGAUCCGCCCCGCGAACAAUCCCGCGAUCAGUCCCACGAUCUAGUACCGAACGGACGGCACCUCCGCGUUCAGCACACGUACAGCUCGACGAUGAUCUCGGCCUUCUUGAUCCAGCAAGAGAGACGGAGAGGUAGAAGAGUUCUCCGGCAGCGUGACGGCGCUCCGGAGGUUGGUGAUGAUCUUGUCUCAGCAGGGCUCCGCCCGAGCUCCGCAGAAACACGAUCUAGAGGAAAAACUAUGGAGGUAUGUGGUCGGGCAGCCGUGAGAAAGUCGUCUCAAAUCAGCCCUAAUACCUCAGUAUAUAUAGGAGGGAGGGGAGGGAAGAGGCAGCCUCAAACCCUCAAGGUUGCCGAAAUUGGAGGUGGAGGAGUCCUACUCCAAUCCUACUUGAGUAGGAUUCCACCUUCCCACUUCGAAACUACUUUCCUACCUUGUGUUUUUCUUUCUUCUAACCUUAACUUAGGUCCGUUACGUUGGGUACGUUAGUUACUACGNNNNNNNNNNNNNNNNNNNNNNNNNNNNNNNNNNNNNNNNNNNNNNNNNNNNNNNNNNNNNNNNNNNNNNNNNNNNNNNNNNNNNNNNNNNNNNNNNNNNAAGGGUUGGGUUUGAGGGAUUCUGUUAUAAGGGUUGCAUUUGAGGGUUCUAGUCUUUGCCUCAAUCCCAACCCUUAAAACUGUCAUUUGAUAUAUCAUAAUUUUCAUCAUCUCAAUAACAUCGAAUAGUAUUUUCAAACACAUAAUAUUAAUUCAAUUUAUUACAACAAUGUUUUAAAGCAAAUUAUAAUAAUUGUUUGAAUCAAAUAGAACAUGGAAAAGUAAACAAAGGUAGAUCAUGGGACUUGGCGCCGUCCAGCCAACUGCCACUGGUGCUCUACUUGAUCAUCCCGGAGCUGCCACUGGUACGCACUAAACCCCAUGAUACCGACGGCGUAUCUACGAUGCUUGAAGUAAUCUGAGUCAGCCUCACAAUCGGUGACAAUUUUUACAAACAAACUACGACACAUUCGGUACCUUCUCCGGAAGAGGCGAGGUGGGUAUGUCGGUACCUCCGCGAAGUAGUCUCGCAUCAAAUGUUCAUGUCCGAGACAGCGGUUCCGGUAGAUGGUGACUCGCGCCAUCUUCGACCCUCUCCUCUGAUCCAUCAGCUUCACGCGGUCUUCAAACUCUUUCACGUCGACGAGGAGGCCCAUCAUCUCGAUGUCAUUGUCUUGAAGCAAGUCCUCAAUGUCCGAAUCGUCCGAUGACGACCAACCGGAAUCAUCGGACAACACAUCCAUCUACACAACACAAAACAAAAAAUGUAGUGUUGUUCUGUAACAAAAAUACAGGAAACAGGGCCGGCCGGAGCCCACGAUGGAGGAGGCCGACGGUGUGGACGAGCUCAGGGCGGUGGAGGAGCUCGGGGNNNNNNNNNNNNNNNNNNNNNNNNNNNNNNNNNNNNNNNNNNNNNNNNNNNNNNNNNNNNNNNNNNNNNNNNNNNNNNNNNNNNNNNNNNNNNNNNNNNNUUUUUUUUUUUUUUUUUACAACAGUUUGCACUUUGCAGCGGCCUAGAUAUCACAGCAGGAACCGGUCUCCCUCCCUCGGUUAUUCAGCGCCUUUUUUUAGACGAAGGUUUAUCGUUCAGCAGCCAACAAGACUCUGUCCCGCGUACCGGCGUGGAAGUUUCCACCCGCACGGCAACCUCCCCAACAACCGCGCCAUCACGUCGCCGGCUCGCCGGCAGUGGUACAUAUACCUCCUCCCCCCCCACCUCCUCCUCUCACCACCACCAGCUCCCAGCACCACCAUCUCCAUCGCCUCCCGCGCUCCAUUUCGCGCCUCGAACCUCGUGCUCUGACCUCCACCGCUGCCAUGGCGCGGCCAGGCCACUCCACGGCGUGGCUCCCCGUCCUGGUGCUGCUGCUCUCCGCGGCGGGCGCGACGGCGCAGAGCUGCCUCUCCGCGACCUUCACGUCCGGCCGCACGUUCCUCAAGUGCAACCAGCUGCCCGUGCUCGGCGCCAGCCUCCACUGGACGUUCCACGCCCAGAACGGCACCGCCGACGUCGCGUUCCGGGCCCCGUCCGGCGCCGACGGGUGGGUCGCCUGGGGCAUCNNNNNN
rnacentral:lncRNA from 1 species